AUCAGAAAUUCCAACCCCUCCACAAAUAAUACACCUUCCCUGGAAAGAUCCAUAGUUGCACUCAUCGCAAACCCGAACAAGUGUGCAAGGACGCACAUAAGAGUCACAAAUUACACACUUACCGUCGCAUUUUUCACCGUCGCAUUUUUCACACAACCUUCCAAUAGCUAUUCCAGGUUGCUUUUGGCACAUAAUCAGGUCAGGAUGAUGCUUCGCCAUGUUCCUGCAACAACAGGGUAAAAUAAGCUUCUGUCCAGAGGAUCAAAUAGGGCCAAAUCACAGUAAACAGAAUCCAAAUGAUAAAAACUCGAAUCCCCAAAUUAACUAGAACCCUAGCCUAGCUGGCUGGCAGCCGACUUAGCUUUCGAGUGCCCCUCAGAUGCUCCUGCAUCCAAUGAUAACGCUAAUGCACAUUCAAAAGUUUCGAGACUAACCCAAUUUGCAAAUCUGCAUACCUUUUUAACAAUUUCAUGCCAAAUUGCAGGGUGUUUAUAUUCCCAAAUCAUGCAACUUAUCGAUCAGCUACGAGUAUUUGCAAACUCUUUUACAACUAUGCACAAAAAUAAUAAAAGUGGUUUACUUUUGUCACACCAAUUCACCAAUGCAAAGCAGUUCAUUGCCCCAUAACUCAAAUACCAAAAAAAACCCAAAAAAUCCAAAUUUUUUAAUUUCUAAUUACUCUUUCAAGUUCUGGGUGCUUCCGAUGUUUGCCUAAUUCCCAUCACAGAAAACAAAUUCUGGGAAUUAAACAUGCUGUGUAAAUAGAUGAAACGAUUAAUAAAUUGAACAGAACAGGAACCCUAAAACAGGUAAUCGAAUGCGCAUUCGGCUAGAAAUUUGAAUUUUAGAUGGAAAUAAUAAAAAUACAGCAGCAGUUUUCUACAUAUGCGAAAACAAGAGAGGAAGAACGAGAAGCGAAGAGAGCAAACCUUACCGAAGAUAGCUGGAGAGGACUCGGAUGAAGGGAUGCUACUGUAAGAGGGGAUCGGCGCGGUUGGGGGAGUUGGGCUCGGCUGACUGAGAGAGAAUCGGAUAGGGGUAAUGUAUUUUUUUUUUUUCUUUCCUUUUUGUCUGCUUUUUAAGUUUCAAUUGAAAAUUGUCGCUUAGUAUUAUAGUUUAAUAGUAUUCAACAUCAGUUGUAAGUAGAGAUUUCUUAUGUUUUGCAAAAAACGAAUUUAAACCACAUUAUUACUAAUUUGAUGCGAGACUUAGCCCACUUCUCUAUCGAUAAUAUCAUUUGUUUUUAAAAAAAUCAUCCAACUGUUGUAAACAUUCCUAGUUUAAGUAUGAUUGUGUAAAUCCUAGAUAAGAUUUGAUUCUAGUUAUCCUUUCCUAUUACAACUUGUAUUACUUGGAGGAGAAGAAAUAUCUUCUCUCCCUUUACUACUAUAAAUAAAGGCACAAUGUAGGAGGGAUAACAACACACACAUUCCCCUACAAUUCUACAAACACACAUCUCUCUCCUCUCUCUCUCUGCCGCCGGCCCUAGUCCCUUUGUCAGAUAAAAUAGACCACAACACGUUAUCAGCACGCUCCUACCGCUGCGCUUAGGAAUCUGACGUUGGAAAUUUUUUCUGCAUCAAACCAGUUCAUCCAUAUCAUCACGCAAUCAGGUUCUUUCCAAACAACGGCUUUUAACUCGAUAUUUUGCAAGCCCUGAUAGCAUGAACAUUCACCAUGAUGCAUGACCCAACUUUACGUUUUACGUAUUUUAGAUUCUACGUAAAUUGCGUAUGCUUCAUAAUCAAAAUUACUACAAUUAUGUGAAUUUGAUAUUUGUCAUGAAUUGAAUCCUACAUCUGUACAUGCAUUGAAACUAUUAUUUGCAUAUGCAUCAACGUAAAUAUGUGAUUCAUUAAAAUUAUACAUGUAAUAUAUUUGAAUUGAAAAAAAAAAAAUUUGCGAUUGGGGAAUUAGGGUUCUAGUCGAACCCGUGCCUUUGCACCAUGCAAGGCCGCAAGCCACCAGGCCCGCAGCCUGCGAUGGCCCAACCCAAACCGAGAACCCAGGCCGCAAGCCUUGAACCGAAACGGUGCGUUUGAAGCACCUUGUCCCGACCUACGGCCUGAAGCCUAGGUCCUCGCCGUCAAUUUUCCGACACAACACGACCUGCAGUCGUGCAAACUUGGACACCACCCAUCGUUUUCACCAACGAUUUCUAGAAAUUCCAGAAGAAUUUCAUGGGUCUUCACUCGAAUUCAAUUGAAUUCAUUCGGUUUUUUUUUUUCUUCCAUCGACGUCGAGAUCUCUUCUUCGUCGACAAACACCUGGUUCUUCGACGAACCAUGGCUUGCUCGACCCUGGACACACCGCCUGCCAUGGCGCCGUCCACGAACUCCGGCUUUCUUCUUCGGCAUCGCACACCCAGCACGGCUGGGAUUUCUUUUGGGUCUCUUUCCCGAACCCUACUCGGGCUCUGUCUCUCGGCCCGUGUAACAAAAGAAAAAAACAAUUUUUUUUGCUGGGCUCGCUUGCAGCGGCCCAGCCCACAAAGGAAACAAUUUGUUUUUUUUUUAUUUUUCCUGGGCUCGCCUGCAGCGGCCCAUACCGAAAAAAAGAGAAAUUUUUUUAGGGCUGCACACAGCAGCCCAUUCCUUUCUCACCCCGUGGGCCUGCAGCCUACACCCGGGGGUACUCGGCCUAUAUUUUUAGGCCCCGAGAUUUUAUUAUUUAAUUUUUUUUAAAUAAUAUGGGUUUUUAUAUUUUCACCCACACUUUAAUUUGGCCCCGAAGACCAAAAAUAAAUUAAUUCACUUAUCAUUAUACAAUAUUUCUGCAUAUAUUCUUUGCAUAUUUGUUUGCAUAUAUAUUUGUGUUUGCCUGCAGGAAUAUAUGAACCUGAAGUUCAUAAUUACUUUGAAACCCGAAGUUUCUUAUACACAUGCCUUGUUAGAAAACCCGAAGUUUUCACUUAAACAUAUCACCCAUGAAAACCCGAAGUUUUUCAUGCAAAAUUCAACCAAUACAUGUCUAUUAGAACCUGUAUGUUCUACUCCUAUGUGAAUGGAUUGAUUUUUCUCCAUUACACUAACCACAUCUUGUCCAUCUAAUUUUGUGAUAGGAACAUGUCGAACUUGAACAAACUCGACUUCACCGCUUUGGAGGUUUCUGGAAGGAACUACCUCAAGUGGGUUCAAGAUGUGAAGCUCCACCUCACUGCAAAGAACUUGCGUCCUGCUAUUGAAGAAGCAACAGAUAAACCUGUUGGCGAGGCUGAAAAAGCCACUGCUAUGAUCUUCAUCCGAAGACAUAUCCAUGACGCCCUACAAACUGAGUACCUUGCUGAGGAGGAUCCACGUGCAUUAUGGGUCGCUUUGGCUGAUCGUUUCGAUCACCAAAAGGACAUAUUCUUGCCUGAAGCAAGACACGACUGGCAGCAUUUGCGCUUCCAAGACUUUAAGUCUGUGAAUGAAUAUAAUUCUGAAGUUUGUCGAAUCCGAUCACUUCUCAAGUUUUGCAAUGAAACUUUGACUGAAGAGGAUCUCCUGGAGAAGACCUACUCGACCUUCUCUGCUUCUAAUAUUGUCCUGCAGCAACAAUAUAGAGCUCAGAAGUUCACUAAGUUCUCGGAUUUGAUCUCUGUUUUACUUCUUGCUGAAAAGCAGAACCAGCUGUUGAUGAAGAAUCAUCAAGCUCGACCUACUGGGGCUACUGCUGUGCCUGAAGCACAUUAUAGCACUAAUCAGCACCCAAAACGCCAAAAGAGGCGUGGUAAGGGUGGCCAGAAGCCAUCCCACCAAGGUCAACAGAGCCAAGGCCCAUCCAAGGGAGGAAACAAAGCCCAGAAGCGCCCAAACCUCGCUCCUAAGGCCCCGAACUUCAAGAAUAAAGGGCAAAGCACCUGCCACAAUGAAUGACGAUAUGUGCUAUCGUUGUGGUUCCAAGGACCAUUGGUCCCGUAUUUGCCGUGCUCCCAAGAAGGUUGUGGAUGCAUAUCAUUCUCGUCGUACAAAGUUUGAAUCAAACUUCCUGCAAGUGGACGAACCGGAGACUACAAAGAUGGAGGUUUCUGAUUUUCAGGAGGAUACCACUCCUAUGGAAGAUUAGAAUCUUAGACAUAGACUUAUUUUUCAGUUAAAAUAAGACAAUUGGGGCCGAAUUCCACCUUGUGGCCGAACCCCACCUUGUUUUUUGGUUGAUUUUGAACAAUUUUCCUUUAUGUUUUGGAUUAUUAGUUGGCGAUUUAUUUUGGAUAUUAAGUUUUUAAUCCUUGAAUAAAUGAAAUUAUUUUGAAUUGAUACUUGUUUUUAUAAACUUUUAUACAUGUGACCGAUUCAAAUUAAUUUUUCAUUCUAGGUAUGACUAGUGGGAAAGUUAGUUGUCUGGCAGAUAGUGCAACCACGCAUACUGUUUUGCGUGAACGCAUCUAUUUCACUAACUUCGUACCUAAGAAUGCACCUCUGACAACCCUCUCAGGCCCAUCCAACCUGAUCGAAGGAUACGGUAAGGCACGUAUAAUGUUGUCCAAUGGUACAAUCUUGACCAUUGCUGAGGCACUCUAUUCUCCACGUUCCGGAAGAACGUUACUCAGUUUCAAGGACAUUAGAGAUAAAAAUUACCACGCUGAAACCCACGUAGAAAACAGAGUUGAAUUUCUGUGCGUAACUUCCUACGAAUAUGGCUAGAAGCGUAUUCUAGAGAAGAUGGAGCGUAACCCGAGUGGUCUGUAUACUACGACCAUACGCCCCAUAGAAUGCCACUCUGUGGCCGGCCCUACCACAGGGACCGCGCACGAAAUUACACUUUGGCAUGAUCGUUUGGGACAUCCUGGACGAAUAGCGAUGCGCCGUAUCCUCAAAACUUCACACGGGCAUCCACUAACCCGAAGCUUAGGUUCGAUCCAUGAAAUUGCAUGUCAAACAUGUUCUAUGGGAAAGCUUAUUACUAAGCCUUCUUAUGACAAGAUUCGUUCGAAUCCUCCCAUUUUUCUACAACGGAUUCAGGGGGACAUUUGUGGACCGAUUCAACCUUCAACCCUGCGGACCAUUUAGAUAUUUUAUGGUUUUGGUUGACGCUUCUACACGUUGGUCACACGUGUGCUUGUUGUCCACAAGGAACGCUGCAUUCUCCAAACUGUUGGCUCAGGUUAUCAAGCUCAGGGCUCACCACCCUGAUUAUCCGAUCAAAUCUAUUCGAUUGGAUAAUGCUGGAGCAUUCACAUCUAAAACUUUUGAUGACUAUUGCAUGUCGGUUGGGGUUGAAGUUGAACAUCAUGUACCCCAUGUUCACACCCAGAACGGCCUGGCAGAGGCUUUCAUUAAGCGUUUACAAAUGAUUGCUCGAUCGUUGGUCAUACGUACCAAGUUCCCGAUCGCUGCUUGGGGCAAUGCAAUAUUGCACGCAGCAAAGUUGGUCCGCCUGAGGCCUGUUGCGACACAACCAUUUAGUGCCAUUCAGUUGGUCACCGGAUGCGAACCCGACAUAUCGCAUCUGCGCGUUUUUGGUUGUGCGGUCUAUGUGCCGAUCUCGCCGCCCUUACGUACAAAAAUGGGGCCUCAGCGAAGGAUGGGAAUCUAUGUCGGAUAUGAUUCUCCUUCGAUUAUUCGUUACUUAGAACCUUUGACAGGCGAUCUGUUUACCGCUCGUUUCGCGGAUUGUCACUUCUAUGAGACAGUCUUCCCGUCGUUAGGGGGAGAUAAGAACGUCAACGUUCCUAAUGAACGACGCGAAUUAUCGUGGACGACUCCCACUUUGUCUCAUUUAGAUCCCCGCACCGCUCAGUCUGAAGCUGAAGUGCAGCGCAUAUUAGAUCUCCAGAGCAUAGCUCAGAGCAUGCCAGAUGCUUUCACCGAUCUAGCGCGCGUGACAAGAUCACAUAUUCCAGCUGCGAAUACGCCUGCAAAGAUGGAUGUACCAAAUGUACGACGGACUACCCUCCUGGAAGCCCGGGACGCCAAUUCUGGUGAUCCACGUACAUUAGCGGCUAGCCAAUCAUCUGCCCCUAUACAAAAGCGUGGCAGACCCCUUGGUUCAAAGGAUUCACACCCCCGGAAGAGGAAAAUCACGGCACAAGGUCCUGAAGAGCCUACCGUGAAUCCGACUAUCGCUUACUCAUUUUACCCAACUCAUGAGGAAAUUCUAGAUUAUGGAAGCGUCCUUGAAGAGACGAAUCCUCCUCCCGAGAAUCGUGAGAUUUCGGUCUAUUAUGCUAGCUUAGAUGAUGUGUGGCGUAGAAAUGAGAUGAUUGUCGACGAUGCAUUAGCAUUUGCAGUAGCUACUGAGAUCAUGUUGAGCGAUGACAUUGAACCGCGUUCCGUUGAUGAAUGUCGACAUAGAGCUGAUUGGUCAAACUGGAAACAAGCAAUCCAAGUCGAACUUGAUUCACUUGCGAAACGUAAGGUGUUUGGACCUGUAGUUCCUACUCCUCCACAUGUGAAGCCCGUUGGCUACAAGUGGGUUUUCGUUCGGAAGCGUAAUGAGAAGAACGAAAUUGUGCGUUACAAAGCUCGUCUUGUAGCACAAGGUUUCUCACAACGCCCCGGGAUUGACUAUGACGAAACUUACUCACCCGUUAUAGAUGUGAUUACUUUUCGAUACCUUAUCAGUUUGGUAGUUUCCGAAAAACUGGACAUGCAGCUGAUGGACGUAGUAACCGCGUAUCUCUAUGGGGAUCUUGAUACGGAAAUUUAUAUGAAAGUUCCCGAAGGACUUACAUUGACUGGUUCAAAUAUUUCCAAACCCCGGAACACGCUCUCAAUUCGGCUGAGGCGUUCACUAUACGGUUUGAAACAAUCCGGAAGAAUGUGGUAUAACCGUUUAAGUGAGUAUUUGACUAGUCAGGGAUAUGUGAAUAACGAACUAUGCCCUUGUGUGUUCAUUAAGAAGUCACAUUCCGGAUUUGCGAUUGUUGCAGUAUAUGUCGAUGACAUGAAUGACAUCGGAAUCUCAUCUCGCUCCUGAAGAGCUUUGAAAAAUUGAGAUGAAAGAUCUAGAAGACUCGACUGCUUCGGUCUCGAGAUAGGCAUUGUCAGUAAUCCUAGAAUGAAUCGAUGAGCAAAGCCCAGAAGUCUUCCUUUUAAGAGGUCUUCGAACUAGGCGUUUUUGAUCGUCCUAGUCAUGCAAAGCGAGAUCCCUUUUUGGAUGAAAGAUUUGGAGCCUGAAGUUCCGAUAAGCGCUUUACCUAAUUAGCUCAAGCACUUCACUCGACCAUCUCCUUCGCUGUUAAUUUUUGGCAAAGAUACAGCAAUGCACCAACACGCAGACAUUGGACGUGAAAGACAUCUUCCGUACCUUAAGGUAAAAGAUCUACGGGCUCUUAUUCUGGGCUUAUCCCUACGAAUCCUCGAGUGAUGCCGCACACCUAUGCUCAUCGGGUUGAUUCUCGCCUUGUUGGUUAUUAUGCCGACGCUGGAUACUUAUCUGAUCUGCACAAGGCGCGUUCUCAAACGGGUUAUGUCUUUACCGUUGGAGGCACCGCAAUAUCUUGGAGGUCAACUAAACAGACCUUAGUUGCCACUUCGUCUAACCAUGCUAAAAUUCUCGCCUUACAUGAAGCAACUCGGGAAUGCUUUUGGUUGAGAGCAGUAGUGGGCCAUAUUCGAAGCUCCUGUGAUCUUCAUCCCGCCGUUAAUGCCCCGACGACGAUUUUUGAAGACAACGCAGCUUGCAUCGAACAUCUCAAUAAGGGUUACAUCAAAGGAGACAACAUCAAGCAUAUUGCGCCGAAGUUCUUCUUUACACAUCAACAACAAGAGCAUCAGAAGAUUGAAGUCACGCAAAUCCGAUCACAAGACAAUCUGGCCGACCUCUUCACCAAAUCACUACCGAAGGCGACGUUUCAGAAGCUUGUUCAUGGAAUUGGUAUGCGUAAACUUUCUAAGUUGUAACUUUGCUAUUUCUCUUUGGAAUUAUGUCAAACUCAGGGGGAGUAUCUUCUAGAUACUUGCUUGAUCUUAAUGUACUCUUUUUCCCUACGAUUAGGAGCAUUUUUCCCACUAGGUUUUUGCUACCUAACUAGGUUUUAACGAGGCACCCACCUUGGGCUGGUCAUAUCCCUGAUGACGUCCUGUAGACGUUUCUUUUGACUUUACAUUUCUCACGCAUUUUUCCUUAGACUAUGGAUUUUGUCCCUACUUGGGUUUUUGCCAUAGCCUUAGGGUUUUUUAGUGAGACUCACUACUUAUGCAAGUUCCUACCUUAUUGAGAAUAAGCGUUGUUCCUUGGAAUCAGUGCUGACGAGUCGACUUCCUCAACUUCUGCAUGAUGCUGAAUCUACCUUGAGUAUUUACCCACUCAAGGGGGAGUGUUGUAAACAUUCCUAGUUUAAGUAUGAUUGUGUAAAUCCUAGAUAAGAUUUGAUUCUAGUUAUCCUUUCCUAUUACAACUUGUAUUACUUGGAGGAGAAGAAAUAUCUUCUCUCCCUUUACUACUAUAAAUAAAGGCACAAUGUAGGAGGGAUAACAACACACACAUUCCCCUACAAUUCUACAAACACACAUCUCUCUCCUCUCUCUCUCUGCCGCCGGCCCUAGUCCCUUUGUCAGAUAAAAUAGACCACAACACCAACAAGAUUUUUUUUUUACUUAUUAAUUUUAUGUUGUAAAAGGGAAUGAUCUAAUAUAAAAAUAUUAGGACAAAAGACAAUUUAUUACCUUCAUGUUUAGUGGUUUUCAACAUUUAGUACAUCAAUUGUUUUUCAUCCCAGAGUCAUACCUAAAGUGUAAAUUUUGGAACAGUCUCAUACAGCCGUUAGUCAAACUGUUAGUUCACCCGUUAAGUAAUGACGUGGCGUCCUGAUUGGGCGCAAUGUGUCAUUAAAAAAUAUUAAAAAUUUAUUUAAAUAAAAAUAAAAUUUAAAAAAAAUUUAAAAAAAAUUUAAAUUAAAAUAAUAUUAAAAUAAUAAUAAAAUAUUUAUUUUUUCUUCUUCUCUUCUUCUUCUUCUUCUUCUUCUUCUUCUUCUUCUUCUUCUUCUUCUUCUUCUGGGUUCGGUUUCUCUCCUUUUCUUUUCUUCUUCCUCCUCCUUCUCCUUCUUCUUCCUUCUCCUUCCUCCUCCUUCUCCUCCUUCUUCUUCUCCUUCUUCUUCUUCCUCAAUAAUAUUAUAAAAAAAAAAAAAAAAAAACCCACCUGCAAAGAAGGAGAAAGAGGAGGAAGAGAAGAAAAAAAAAUAAUACCCGAACCCAGAAGAAGGAGGAAGAAGAAGGAGGAGGAGGAGCAGAAGAAGAAGAAAGAAAGGGAAAAAAAAUCGAAUCCAGAAGGAGGAAGAAGAAGAAGAAGAAGGAAGAAGGAGGAGGAGGAGAAAGGAGGAGGAGGAGAAGAAGAAGAAGGAGAAGAAAGAAAAGAAAAGAAAAACAACCGAACCCAGAAGAAGAAGAGGAAGAAGAAGGAAGAAGAAGAGGAAGAAGAAGGAAGAAGAAGAAGGAGGAGAAGGAAAAAAAAAACAACCGAACCCAGAAAAGAAGAGGAAGAAGAAGGAAGAAGAAGGAGAAGAAGAAGGAGGAGGAAGGAGAAGGAAGAAGAAGGAGAAGGAGGAGGAAGAAGAAGAAAAAAAAAAGAAGGGAAACCGAACCCAGAAGAAGAAGAAGAAAAAGAAGAAGAAGAAGAAGAAGAGAAGAAGAAAUUUUUUUUUUUUUUAUUAUUUUAAUAUUAUUUUUAUUUAAAUAAAUUUUUAAUAUUUUUUAAUGAUACGUGGCGCCCAAUCAGGGCACCACGUCAUCACUUAACGUGAGAACUAACAGUUUGACUAACGGAUGUAUGAGACUAUCCCAAAAUUUACACUUUAGAUAUGACUCUGGGAUGAAAAAAAAUUGAUGUACUAAAUGUUGAAAACCACUAAACAUGAGGGUAGUAAACUGUCUUUUGUCCAUAAUAUUAAAUUUAUUCACAGAAAACAUAAAAGAAUGGAAUAAUAGGUUUUUGAGUCAUACUAGCUUAUUCAUGACUAUAAAGUCAACUCAAGCAAAGGUUUUAGAGAGAACAUGACACAAUAUAGAAAUUCAUGUAAGCUAAAUCAAGGCUAGAGAGAAGAAAAAAAGUGAGAAUUAUAUUUAUACUCCUAUUAUUUGAAAUAAUGAAAGCCUACAAACUAAAUAUGUAGUAUUAGUUUCUAGUUAAAUCUUGAUUAUUCUUGUAUAUCUCUUUGAGUGUUUGGGCUUUGUUUUAGGAGUGUGUAAAACUUUGACAAACAAUAGGCGUAAUGUCAGGCAUAACUGUAUCCACAAAGCUUAUUCGCAUAUUCCUUUUGCACAUUAUAUGUGGGGGCGAAUAGAGUAUGAAAGACAGCAUAUUUAUAUGUGCCUUGAAACAAUCUUUCAUCCUUCAUCACAACCAUAAAAUAAAUAAAUCCAACAAAACUUGUGUAGCACGCAAAGAAUUCCAUACACGCUUUAAAUGUUUAUUGUAGACAUUGUUUGAUCAUUUAUGAAAGAUAGGAUACAUGACACAAAGAAUUCCAUACAUGGUUUAAAUGUUUGAUAGUCUUCAGCAAACACAGAAAUGCUUUCAGAAGAAUCCAGCACUCCAGUCCUCUGCAACUGUGCAUCUAGAGACUUCUGGGCCAAGUAACUCUACAAAAUAAAGAAGCGGUAAACAAUUUAAUGUCAAAUCUCAGUUUACUCAUGCUAUGGCAUAUGGUAUAUCAUAUUACCACAAAUUAUUAAGAUCAAUCACACUAGGUAAUUUUCUUAGAAACCUGAGUAACAUUUGUUCUAUCAAGGCAACCAAUGCAGUUUGAUCUGACAAUCCCUUUCUGCUCCUCCAGUAUAUUGCCUUUCGCAUCUACGGGGAAGUAUCUGCUCAGCUGGAACAGUUUUGAUUAAAAACAGUAUUACAUAUAGCCAGCAUACAUGGAUUUUGGCAUAUUUAAUUCAAUCAGAUACUACACUUUCAUUACCCUUGCUUUUCAAAUUGCUCUGAGAUCUGCUCGUAUAGAACCUUUAGGUUUUCAAAGUUUGAGUUACCACAUACUUGAUGGAAGUCAAAUGAAACGUAUCUACAACAAAAACACUAGCAAGUUGAGAACAAAAUCUCAUUUCUGACAUUGUUCCCAAUGCCAACCAAUAGAACUGACUUCAUCAUAGGCAACCUCGAAAACAAAAAAGGAAUCUACUUGCAGUGGGACAAUGAUUCAGUUGGGAGCCAACAUAGAUAUGCAAAUUGUCACCUCACAUUUGAUAGAUUUUGCAUUUCAGCAGAAAAUGCCGUACUUAGUUGACCUUCAUCGCCAUGCUACAAAUAACAAUAAACGGAAAAUUAUAACAACGGGAAAUUUAUGAAACAACAUAUACUUUGCAUACAAUUAAAAAAACAGUAAAACUUGUGUAGCACAAGCAGUCAGCUGGGAAGAAUUAUAGACAUCAUUGCUUAUUUAGCAAAUCCCAGAGCUACAAAAAGGUGAGCAUGUCGUACAAACACAAUUUGAAGGAAAAAAAAUUGCAAACUUUUCAGCUUAACGUAAAGGUGAACCAGUGUGCAAGGAUUGUUAAAUUAAAAUUAAAAUGUAAAAGAAAAGAAACCCAUACUUUUUUCUUUUUUUUUCUUGAAAACUAAGAAACCCAUACUUUAUCAGUUGGGUCUACUGCCAUUGUCUCUCCAUAUCUUUGCGAAAGAUAAAAAAAAUGGCGCUCCAUAACAUUUGACUGUAAGUGGAUGGGAAAAUUCAGAACACACAACUCAAUCAAGGGAACUGUACCAUGAAGCCAAGAAAAGAGUAAAAGGGGAUGGAACUGCCAUUGUCUCUCAUGAGUAAUAAUUCUAAGUUGUGGUUUAUAGCUCAAGUCAACAAUUUACUCCCAAAGAAGCGGAAUUGAACCUCGAAUCGAGAAGUACAGCCCCGGCGUUGAUUGGACUGUUUUCAACAGAGCCAUGAAGUACGCCUCAUCCUUUUUCUGCAGAAACACAUCACAAAUUCAAACUAUCCCAAGUCACACUGAAAUUCGCUAACGAAUCAAAACCCUUACCUCCUGAGCAGUUGAAUUCUUCAUACCCUCGUUGCAGGACAGAAACCUCAUCGAGGUCACUCGAUAAACAGGGAAGCCGAGAUUAGUCCCAACUUCCGUCCACGAAGUUAUUACAAGAACAUAAUUUCCUGCACCAAACACAUCAAUUUCCUGGAAAUAUAGCCAUUCAAUCCACAGAUUUAUACAAUACAACGGAAAAAAGUUACACAUUUUGGUUCGAAAUACUCCAAAGCGAGUAAAAGCAAGCAAUUGACUUACUUGUAAGCAAUCUGAUCGUUCCCGCCACUCCGUAUAUCGUCGAGGUUUUGUUUGGGGCUGCCCGGAUGAGGGGUUUUGGUUUGGGGCUGCCCAUUCUUGGUAAGUAAACAGACUUUGCAUCCUCAUUCUUGGUAAGUAAACAGACGUUCAAAAGUGGUUACCAUAUUAUUCUUCCACACGACAGUGUACAACUAACUUGAGGUAGCAUUUUCAUUGAAUAAAAGACUAUUUUUUUAAACAAUUAUAUUCCACGUCUAAACGGAGGGGAUAAUCUACUCUAAGGGAGGGUGCUGAAAGAACUUUUUGAUACAACAAUAUUCUACAUUUAAGCGGAUGGGGUAAUCUACUAAGGGGUAGCUGGGUUAGGCCGUACAAUGAAUCAACUAUUUACUAAGUAUUAAACUUAACAUAAAUAUAAUACAUCAUUACUAUCAAUGUGCGUCAAACUUGAGACGUCUCACUAAUUUGAACACUAAUUGGACUAACUUGAACUUGAUCUUGAUCUCAUUAUGUUUCAGUCCCUGUCAUUAAACUAGCCACUAGUGUGUGUGAUGAUGGGACAAAAUAAUAAAAUGGGGUUGCAGAUAGUUGAUUUCCGGUAGCAGUGAAGUUGAAGGGUAGGCGACAAAUUUGCCUUGACUUUUAGUGACGAGAGAAUUUGGUUGGCAUGAGAAAAUAAAGUGGGGGUGCAGCCUCCAAGUGAUUGCUGGUAGCAGUGAAGUUGAAGGGUAGGCGACAAAUUUGCCUUGACUUUUAGUGAUGAGAGAAUUUGGUUGGCAUGAGAAACGUUCAGCAAACAAGCUGUUGCGCUGCUUGAAUAGAGAAAAUUGGUUCAUGACGUGUUGCUGCAAGUGAUAAUCCUUUAGCAGAUGUUGGUGUUGCCAAUUGGCAUUUUUUACCAGCCAAUGAUGCUUGUGGUGGCUACUACGUGGCAUGGGAGUUAAAAAAUUGGUUCUUAUCGGGUAAGAUUUCUCUCCGGAUCUGUGUGCUUCAAAUUCUGAGGACCAAGUUAUCUUGGCCGUUUGAUUCAAAUCCUCCGGUCAGACAUCUUUCUUUCCCUUCCUCUUCUUCUUGGAAAUCAAAGACGGAGAAGAACUCUUGGGUCUCACUCACUGAGAAUUCAUCGACGCAAUAAAGAGAUUCGUUGUUCCUGAUCCUACUUCACCUUAAUUGUUAUUUGAACAAGUAAAAAUUAUGUCUUGGUCCGAGUGGGGAUAGCAUUUCUCUUCUGCAUGUUCAUGGAGUUUUUGAAAAAUCCAAACAUCUCAGAGAUAGAGAGGUAGGAAAUUAUGGAACAAACCGCACUCCUUCGUAUACGUCAGGAGUCCAUUGAUGAGAAGGGGUUAGGGAAAGCUUGAACCCAAUUCCUACGGUGAUGAAUAUAAGCGCAAUUGAAAUUCCUGGGGACCUCCAACGCCGAUUAGGAGGAAACCACCCUACCGCUGCGACUCCGAACAAACGGAUAAAGACUGGCCUGCUGGUGGCCGAUAUGAUCCUCGCCUACUUGUCGAUGGCGGCGAGAGGAAGAAGGGCAUGCUGGUCACGAGGGCAAGGGUUACGAGUUCUACACCAAUUGCGAGCAGAAAGGAUCCUUAGCCGAGGAUCCAGAGAUGAUCUUACCCCUUCUUAUCACCUAAAUAACUCAACAAGUCUCUUAAUUUUAUAUACACGAAGUGGAAAAUCCAAGGAGGUUGAACUUGUGUCAUGACCAACAAUAAAACGAUUUGUUAAUUAUUCAUCCCCAUAAGUGUAUUCAUGUGCUUCCGUUUCUCGUACACGUCAGAAUGUUUUGUUGAAAUUUAAAUAUACAAAAGCUUAUUAUAUUAACACCCCACGUAUUGUUGAAUAAACCUCACUACUUAAUACACCCUACAUUUGCUUUUUUAAUUAAAAAUUAUCUUAAUACACCCACAUACUUCCCCAUAAUACCCUCAUACCCCACAUUCUCAACAUACACUUCACAUUUUCUCCAUACACCCCACAUUUUUCAAAUCUUAUAACACUCAUUUUUAAAUGUCUUAUGAUUUUGUAUUUCGUUCUACUCUGUUGUUUUUCGUUCAUUUUUAAACGGCUUAGUUGGCUCAUUGAACUGUGACUCAAGUUUACUGCUUCACCAUCCAAAUCAUGCUCUAACGUCUUAGAAAUUAAACGUCUUAUGAUUUUAUUUUUCGUUCUACUCUGUUGUUCAGGCAAGGGCUUGCCUGUGUAGCCUAUUAAUUUUAGAUGGUGAUUUUUAUACAUGUGAACUUUUAAGUUGUGCUUUGAUGUAGUAUCUUACGAAGCAAUAUUUGGCUCGUGUAAUGAAACCAAAAGCUCUUACCAAUUUGUAGGCAUUUUUCGUAUGAAAAAUUAUGGUUUGCUAACAAAUUUUAUAGCUAUUGGAUAUCUGUGUUCAUCCUAUUUGAAGUAUUCAAGCUUCCUUAAUGCUCUGUACUUUCUAUUUUGUUAGAUAAACCUUGUUGAAAAUAACCAUAAAAAAAAUGAAGAGUUGGAGGAGUUUUGAUAAUUGAUGAAGAUAAAUAAUAAAAGUGAUUUGUGGUGUAUUUAUAAAUUUUUUAUUUUUUUAAAACCUAAUAAGAUCAAAAUUGUUAUUGCAUAGUAGGAUAUAUAAAUCAUUUAGUAUUAAAAUUUAAUAUAGGGUGCAUUCAAUAUUUUUUGAGGUGCUAAUAUAAAAAGAGAGAUGAUAUAGAUAUACCCACCCACCAACACUAUUUCUCCACCCACUUUUUAAUGAUACUUUUAAUGACAACUCUAACCUUUUGCAAAAUGACUUAUAAGGCCAUCUUUAACUAUUUUAUUAUUUUAUUAUUUUAUUUUUGUAUUAAAUUCUAAAAAUAGAAGGAACAAAAACAUGAGCCUAACAAGUUGAAACCACCGCACACGGCACCAACCAAGUUGAAUCCACCGUUUUCCUCAUCUCUUAUGUCAAGUCCUUCCCAUCCAUUCGAAAUCUUCAUCAAACACCAUAGACCCAUUAUAAUUACCUUAAGACACCUUACUCUUUUUCUCUCAUACCCAUUUAUAGUUUUGGCAAUCCGUGUGGAACUGUGCUCAGUUCAUCUAAUUGACGUGGUUUUGAUACCCCUAUUCUACGAUUAGUCCUCUACUUGAGUUGUAAUUGGAGAGAGCGACUACGAGGUUGACCGAGGAUGUUGCUCAUCCUCAUAGUCUUGAUUAAAUUAGAGACAUGGUUGGCUGACUGUGAGAAGGAGGUUGCUUGCCGUCAAGUGGGUGAACUUGUGGCGGUGGCUAAUUUUCUUUGUAAGGGAUAGUUUAGGAAUAUCAGUGGGUGGGAAAAGAGUGUUUUUCAUUUUUACCUUUUGAGUGGGGUGGGAAAAUAAGAUGGGGUGGGAAAAUAGGAUUGUAGGGUGAGUCUAGUAACUCUCUAUAAAAAGCCAUUUACUAAAGCAAAAUGAGAAAAACACUGUUCUAAGCAACAAUGUUUGGACAUUUUUGCCCUUAUUUUAAGGGAGUUUUAACAAAACGCUCCCGGUACUGUUCACUUUUAACGAAAAAUCACAUUUUUACUUUUAACUGUCACUAUUCAUUAUACCUUUAAAAAUGGUUUUUCGUUCAAAGUGAAGUUUUUUGAACUUUUCGUUAGUUUUCCUUUAUUUUAAUGAUCCUGUGUUCCCACUUUUUGCGCUUUUACAAUGAAAUUCCCAAAUUGCCCUACAGGCAGACGUGUAUAUGGAAAAAGGUUUUCCACGCAUGGCAUGCUAGGGAGAUUUGCAGCACCGCUUCAUUCCUCUCCUCUGCACCGUUUCCUUCCUCUUCCACUUGGAAUUGAUACAGAAUACCGCUCAACCAAAUUUUCUCACCAUUUCGUUCCGUACUUCUCCACCUCUUCAUUCGUGCUGCACUAUGAAUCGAAACAAAAAACCCAAUCAAUUUCAGUUAACUCAAAUCCUUAAAACCCAAAUUUCUCCAGAUCGUUGGAAUCAAUUUGCUUUUGUUGUUGCUAAUCUACAGGUAAAGCUUAAAUUUACAUACAAUUUUUUAUUUUUCUUGAUUGGAGUUUGAAAAGAAUUAGUUGUUCUUGGAAAUAAUUACAGAAAAUUGGAAAAGGGAAAUGGGAAAGCGAGGAAAUGCAUGCAAAUGGGUUUGAGAAAAUGCCUUUUCUUUGGCAUUCGCUUUUGGCUUUCAUCCUUUAUGUGUAUGUCUUCACUGGAUGAGCUUUGUUUUCCUUUUUUGAUUUUGUUGAUUUUUUUUUCUUUUCCCCAUUUGGGCUAAAUAGUUCUCAAACUUCUGAGCGAUUAUCGAUAAUCGUUGUUGUUGUGAAUAAAUUUAGUCAAUGACUUACUAAAACACCAAUUCUCCAAAGCCAGAGCACUAUUAGAUGAGGCUUUGCGAAAAAAAAAAAUUGGGAUAGACAGGGCUCACAAGGAAAUUUGAGCUUUUGUCAGAUAAAAUAUCUUUUUUUUUUUAAUUCAUGUUAAUUUGCAGUAAUUUAUUUUAUUUAAUUUGGUUUUUAAUUCUUUUGUUGUUAUUUUAUGAUUAUGGGGGUUUUGUUUUCAGACUCGAACGCCGUUGUCUUCCCAAGUCCUCUGUAAUCAAGGUAAGCAAUUUGAAAAUUUUGGCGGAUUGAAAUCAGAGUUUCAAUUUACACAUUUGUUUAGAUUUGACUUUAUUGAAGCCAAUUUAUGCAUAUUUUCCAUCAGCUUUUUCUUAUGUUACUUUGGAUAGGUCCUGUUGUCCAGAUUUUGAGCAUCUUCUUUUGGGAGUGAUUAAUAGCUGCUGUGACAGGUUAGUUUUUUACUCUUUCUAAAAAAAAAUUAUGCAUAGUAUUUAAAUCUUGUAGCAUUUUAAAAUUCUUGCUUCUGUGGUUGUGAUAUGAUAUAUGUAUUUGCUUUAUUUAAUUACAAUUUAGGUGUGAUGAAAAAUUUAAAAUUUAACUUCAUUAUUUUCUUCCCAGCUAUCAAUCUAUAGUUUGGCAUUUACAAUUUUUUUGCACAUGAUGCGAAAAAGAACUAUAAAUAGCAAAAGAAAUCAGGGAAUACAAGAAGAUCAUACUUCUGACACUGCAAAUGGAAUAGAAAUGUUUAAUGAAAAUGUUUGCCAUGCUGAUGGUGCACAUACGUUGCCUGAAAGCUCUUCCAAACAAAAAAGAAAGAAGAAAGUAGGUGCAUUUUAACUCACAAUGUUCCAAUGGCCAAAAGGCGCUGAAUCGGGUCGAAAGCAAGAAUGGACGCCGUGGAUGGGAUGUCAUAGUGAACUGCAACUCGCAGGUCCAAGUCUUCCGCCGUCAAACUCCCGUGUGGCAAAUUAUGCUGAAACCAACAAUUUCCAAUACAAAAUCCCAAUUAAAAAAAAAUGGGUAAGUAUCAGUCCAAAUGUCGAUACCAAGAGGCUCCAAAUUCAUACAAUCCAAGUAUUCGAGCAUAAAAUACACUGAAAUGAAUAAAAAAAAUCAUAAAAAAUAAUCCAUUGAUGCAAUAUCCAAUUUUCCAGGAUACUAACAAGAUAAAGCAUCGGAAUUUAAUCCACCCCAACAAAAAAGAAAUGGAAUUUUAACCAAAAAACGCAAAUUACGAAGCUAAACUGAAAAAUUCGAAAAAAAUAUAACAGAAAAAAGUGGCGGCGAUCGAAUGCUUGGGAAUACGAUUUUACCUGAGAGUUGUUUAUGGCUUUCUGCAAAAGCCGCUUGGCGAAGAUCGCGAAUUCGAAUUUGCAGCUGAAAUCUUUGGCUUUCUGCAAAAGCAGGUGGAUUGGACUAGCGGAGGAGACUUUCUAUGUUUGUUUCAGUGAUCAUACCGAUGGCGUUUCUACUCUUAGCGCGUUUACUAAUCCGUAAUCAAAUUGAGAGGAAUUGAAUUGAGAAGGAAUUUGAUUAAAGAGGAAUUGAAAUAAGGUGGAAUCAGAAUCAGAUUCCUGUUGAAGUUGUUUACUAAAACUGUUUGAAAUCGGAGUAGGAAUUAUGUUGAGUUCAUAUAAAAUGUUUACUAAUUCACUUCAAUCGGAAUGAAAACUAAGUUUAUUAUUAUAUUACCCUUACAUAAAUAAAUUAUUUUCAUACUCUUUCUUUAUCAUGCCAAAUUCUUUUUUCAUCUCUUCUCUCUAUUUCUUCCAGAACCUCCUUCCUUCUCAUCCCCAAUUAUUUUUUUUAUUUUCCUUUCUCCAUCUUCUUCCCCGUCAUCCUUGCUCCCUGAUAAUCUUCUUACCAUCCCCAAAAGAUGGCGAGCAUGACGGGUUGGGUUGGCGCUCGAUGUCGGAGCGAACCUCCUUCCUUCCCCAAUUGUCGCCAAUGACAACCUGUUCUUCACCAGUUACAUCUUCGAAACCCAUCCUGAACCAGUCAGCUUGAGCCCCGUCAUCGCCGGUGGACGGGAUUGAGCAGGAGUCGGCCUCUGCUGAAAGGCAUCGGCCUCUGCUGAAAGGCAUAAGGACAGGGUUAGUUUGGGUAGAAAAGUCGAAUUCCUGAUGGAGGCUUCUCCACGGAAUCCAAAUACCACCUCUAUGGAGGGGAUUUGGAGAUUCAGGAGUUCAAUUCCUGAUUUUGUGUGAGCUCUACCUUGUUUCCGAUUACUGAAGUGUUUGGUAAACGGGUGAAUGCCUCGAAAAAAGUGCAAAUCCGUUUCUUCAUAUUCCAUUCCGGUUAUGUAAACAUGGCCUUAAGAGUUGUAAAAAUUUCGAAUCAGUCAAUGACAACAAUUGAAAUUAAAUGAAAAUAAAUAAAUAAAAAGGUGCUUAGCCGUUGUUUAUGGGGGUUGUAUCCUCUGCGGUCGCGAUUAUUUCACAUUCGGUACGCAGUCAGCAAUCCCUUCGUUGGAAGCAAAGGCAAAACGACAACGAAGGCAAAACGGAGUCGUUUUGGGCAUGUUUGCUUGCAUUUUGCAUCAUUUGGUUGACUCAAAGUCAUUACAAAUGUAGUAGAUGAAAGUAGACAUCACCAAAAGCGUCACUGAAAGCAAAAGAAAGCAUUAGCAAUAUCUUCUUUUUUUUCUUUUCAUACAAGCAACUUUUUAUUAUGAAUUGUAAUUUAAUUUGAUCUGCAAGAAAGCACUCGACUGAGUACAAGAGCACAUUUAUUUUUUACUCAAAGUGGUUAUGUUUAUGUCUACAAAACAAAACUCAUCAUGUAUCAACAACUUAUUCUCAUUAGAGCAAAUUUUAUAAAGGAAAUCGAACUGAACCAAAUCGCUCGCUUGGUUAGAAUCACCAAUUGAUGGGUUAUUGUGCCCACUUCUAGAGCUAACUUUGAAGUAGGGGUGGUAGUGGGUCGUGUCGAGGUACUAAUCAUUUGGGACAUUAUUCGACUCCUAAAUAAGAAAUCACUCCUUAUCCUACAAUUUUAUUUUUAGCAUAUAUACAUAAAUAACUUUUAAAAACAAGAUAUUUAUUAUUGACAUUUUAAAAAUCUAAUUAUACAUUUUACAAAUUUUGUCUGGAAAGAUAAAUACUCUUACGAAAAGUGUAGAAUUAAAUUUUAAAGUGCCAAUAAUAGAUUUCAAAAAGAAAAUAAGAAGAAAAAGUUUCUAAUGCACAUUCAAAAAAGACUUUUUAACUAAAAUGAUUUUUGAGAUUGACAUAACUUUUCAUUUUGGUAUUUGAGAUUUGAAAUCGAUAAAAGCAAUGAGUUUGUCCACCAUCAAUCAUUUUAGUCAUUUUGUGAAAAUUCUGUUAAAUAAGGACUAAAAUGAUAAAAAUACUCUCAAGUUAAUGAACAAUUGGUCAAAAUGAUUUGACAAGAAUUGAGAGUAUUUUUGUCAUGUUAUCUUUAUUUAAUGGAGAUUUUUUAUAGAAUGACCAAAAUGAUAGAAGGUGGACAAUCUCAGGACCACUUAUGUUGUAUGUGUGUCCAUGGAGAAAUUGUCUUUGUAAAACAGUUCAGGAUUUCCUCUUGUAAUGUAACUUAUGUGAAUCCAGACUAUUGAUUCGAAUUUUUCGGAUUUGCGUAUUCAUCUUGUCAUACUUUUUGCAUUCUGGUUUGUUUUUACUUUGUUUCUUUGUGAAUAUUUAGUACACUGCUCGUGCACCUCAUUAGUUGUUGUGAUUUUGAUUUGUAAUUUGCAGAAACGGGCAACUUCAGUAAUUAACUUCCAUAUUCUUUUCUUUUGGCCUUAAAAAUUUACAGCUUCGGAUUAUUACCAGAUUGAUGAUCUAUUGACAGCUGAGGAGCAGGCUAUUAGGUUGCGAGUAAGAGAGUGUACGGAGAAAGACGUUGCUCCAAUUAUGGCAGAGGUAUCCCUUUUACUCUAACCAUUUCUGCAUUUCAUAUCAAGGCUAUAAAAGUCGAUGUUAAAUUUUUUAAGGGUAAAUAUCAAUUUACUACUGUUUCGUGGUUUUCAACAUUUAGUACAUCAAUUUUUUUUCGUUCCAGAGUCAUACCUAAAAUGUAAAUUUUGGGACAAUCUCAUACAUCCGUUAGUCAAACUGUUAAGUCUCCCGUUAAGUGAUGACGUAGCGUCCAUGUGGACAAUGAUUGGAUGCCACAUGUCAUUAAGAUGUCCACGUGGAUUUUUCUUUCUUUCUUCUCUUCAGAGGUGACGUGGAUUUUUUUUUUAUCUCUCCUUCUUCUUCUUCUUCUUUUCUUCUCUUCCUUUCUCCCUAGAAUCCCCAUUUCGUUCUUCACCAUCGCCACCUUCAGUUCCAUCGACACAUACCCACGCCGGUGAGAGGGAUGGGAAAUUACUCGGUGGAGGAGGUGAUCGGUGAUGUGGGCAGAGAUGACGUGGGUGACGGAGGUGCGGAUGACGAGCUAGGAGAAAAAACCCCAAAUGUCGGCCUCCCUCUUCUAUCCUCCCUCGAUUACAAGCUUUUUGUAUCGACCUAGGUCAAAAACUUCAUAACCAUGGGGAUUUUCGCAGCUCUAAAGUCGGUCAAAGCCACAAACCCAUUUUCAAACAAUUAAAGGUAUGGAAAUGGAGCAUCAUUCCAAUCCAUUUUCAAAGAAUUAAAGGUCUGGAAAUGGAGGCGUACCAUGUGGGUCCCCACGUCGCAGAUAUGGAACUCGUACUUGGAAGGCCGCCUGAAAGCCCUGGUGGUGCUGUAGAUUUGGGGGGAAUUGGGAACUGGGUUUUCAUUUUUGAGCGAGAUGAAGCGAGUUGAGGAGGACAGAUGAGGCUGGGUUUUUGGAGAAGGAGAAAAGGCUUGGUGGUAGGGGUGGGUAUCAGGGAAAGGGGAAUGGUGUCGGUGGGUGAGGGGUGGAGGCAGUGGAGGCGAUGGGGUUGGGUUUUGAGAUGAGGAAGAUGACGGUUUGGAGCAGGAGUUGGUGAUGGCGAAGAAAGGAGAACGAACUGGGAAUUCAGGAUUAGGCCACGACGAUGAUGGGUUGUCUUCGGAUUCGGAGUUGGUGACGGUGGAAGACGCCGAAUCGAUGACCGGUAGCGGUGCUGCUGCUAGUACCUUUGCAACUUCUUGAGACGCAGUUGGAGCACUGGGUGCGGAGGAAGAGAAGGGAGGGUGAGAGGGUGGGCACAGGUGGGAUUUGGGGGAAGAAGGGAUUUUUUUUUUUUAAUUAAUUAAUUAUUUUAUUUUUUUAUAAAUAAUUUAUUUUUAAUUUCCACGUGAGGCGUCCAGUCAUUGUCUACAUGGACGCCACGUCAUCAGUUAAUGGCAAACUUAACAAUUUAACUAAUGGAUGUAUGAAACAGUCCCAAAUUUAAGACUUGAGGUAUGACUCUGGGAUGAAAAUUAAAUGUUGAAAACCACGAAACUUUAGGGUAGUAAACAGAGAUUAACCUAUUAUUUAAUAUACAUUCAUAAACAAUGAGAUUGAUCUGCGAACUUGUUGUUUCAGUACUGGGAGAAGGCAGAGUUUCCAUUUCAAAUUAUUCCAAAGCUUGGUGCAUUGCGCAUUGCUGGUGGGACAAUCAAGGUGCUUAAUACAUAUCUUAAUAAGUUAUUUUUAACUCUUGUGUUUGAUAAUUUGUUGGAUGGGUUGGUUAUUUCGCUUUUGGCCUUCUUUCUAUCAGGGUUAUGGGUGUCCGGUCUUUCUAUUACGGCAAAUGCUUUUGCUACAGCUGAAAUUGCUAGAAUUGAUGCAAGCUGUUCUACUUUCUUCUUGGUUCAUUCCUCACUAGCAAUGCUUACUAUUGGUUAGAAUUUGGAUAAUUUUAUUUUUGACCUUUUGUUUUAUAAAUAACCAAACCUUCACUGAAAAAUGAUGUUGUUGACAAGUCAAGACUUAUAACUAGUGUAACAUUUCUGGACUGUCAAGAAUAGCAUUAUGUGGGUCGGAGGCUCAAAAGAAGUAAUAUCAAUAGAAUUUUACGGCUUAAAUUUUCAUGUAUUGCAUAAUUGAGAAUAUAAUACAUACAAUCUUUAUUCUCCAAGGUAAACCAAAAAAGGACGUAAGAAUUAUCCUUCCUAAUAAAGGACUUUAAUAUUUACACAAUAUUUACAUUCCUAUUCUAAAACCAACUCACGCAACACUCCCCCUCAAGUUGGAGCAUAGAUGUCACACAUGCCCAACUUGACAAGUGAGUUACCAAAAACUCUACUACACACGGCAUGAGUGAGGAUAUCGGCAAGCUGCUCUUCUGAGUUCACAAAUGGUAUUGACACAAUCUUCUUCUCAAGCUUUUCCUUAAUGAAAUGUCGAUCAACCUCCACAUGCUUCGUUCUGUCAUGUUGUACCGGGUUCUUUGCAAUUUCUCGUGCAGACUUAUUGUCACAAUACAACGUUAUAGCCUCAUUUGUUUUGAAACCAAGACCCCAAAGCAACUUACGCAACCAAAGAACUUCACACACUCCAUGUGCCAUACCUCUGAAUUCAGCCUUUGCAGAAGACCUAGACACCACAUUCUGUUUCUUACUCCUCCAAGUAACCAAAUUUCCACCAACGAAAGUAAAAUAUCCAGAAGUAGAACGCAUAUCAGUCACAUCACCAACCUAAUCAGCAUCAGUGAACCCCUCAAUUUUUAGAUGACCAGAAUUUCUAUACAAGAUUCCUUUCCCUGGGGCUGACUUUAAAUACGCCAAGAUACGCAUAACAGCAGCCAUAUGAUCCACACUUGGUGAGUGCAUAAAUUGACUCACCACACUCACUGCAUAGGCUAUAUUUGAACGGAUAUGAGCUAAAUAAAGUAGUCUUCCCACCAGCCUCUGAUAUCUGCCUUUAUCCACUGGUUCUUGAUUUGAAUAAAUCCCUAAGUGAUGUUUCUCCACAAUAGGCGUAUCCACAGGUUUACACCCAAGCAUAUCUGUUUCCCUUAACAAAUCAAGAACAUACUUCCUUUGAGACAAGAAAAUACCUUUGGACGAACGAGCAACCUCAACUCUCAGAAAAUACUUUUAAGUCACCCAAACUCUUCAUCUCGAACUCGGCCGCAAGGUUCUUCUCCAAUUUGACAAUCUCAUCUGAAUCAUCCCCUAUUAUUAUCAUAUCAUCCAUAUAAAUAAUUAAGGCUGUUACUUUACCAAUCCUCCGUUUCACAAAUAGAGUAUGAUUAGAAUGACUCUGAUAAUACCCAUUCUUUCUCAUGGUCUGAGUGAAUCUUCCAAACCAUGCACGAGGUGACUGCUUUAGCCCAUAAAGAGACUUCCGCAAUCGGCACACUCCCUUUUUUCCUUUAUUAUCAUAUCCUGGAGGAAAAUCCAUGUACACUUCCUCCUCCAAAUGUCCAUGAAGAAAUGCAUUUUUUACAUCAAACUGUUUCAAUGGCCAAUUCAAAUUCGCAGCUAAUGAGAUUAGAACUCGUACCGUGUUCAUCUUAGCUACUGGAGAAAAAGUUUCCUAGUAAUCAACACCAUACGUUUGAGUAUAUCCUUUUGCUACCAACCGCGCCUUAUACCUGUCGAGUGAACCAUCAGCUUUGUAUUUAAUUGUAAAAACCCAUCGGCACCCAACUGGCUUCUUCCUUUUCGGCAACUCCACUACUUCCCAUGUAUUAUUUUUCUGUAGUGCCUUCAUCUCUUCAUCCAUUGCUUCCACCCAUUCUCGACUCUUCAAAGCUUCCUCUACUCGAGUUGGCACUUGAAUUGACUCCAUAUUGUUCACCCAAGCUUGACGUUCAGGUGAAAGGUUUUCACACGACACAUAGUUUGCUAUUGGAUACUUUCCUUCUCCUUCUGGAGAACCUGUCAGGAGGUACACCAUGAUUUUGCCUUGGUGGCAGUUUAUAUGUACUUAUAACAUCAUUAGUUACAUGAGUAUCACUAGCACUUACCUCAGGGAUAUUCAGAGAAGACGUAUUGGACGAUGGCACGAUUGAGCUAGAGAGAGGGGGGAAGCUUCGGUACAAAUAUCAUGGUUGCUAGCUUCAGCAGAUGCUUGUGGUAAGGCUGGCUCAGCCUCGGUAGUAGGUGGCUGAACACCAUCUAAAACACAUAGGUUCUCGGUACAAGUUUCCUCGGCGGCAAUCAGUGGUUGCCCAUCUAUAUCAUCUUCGGCAGGAAGCAGCCGAGACCCUGCUUCCUCCCUUGGUACGGUAUUGUCAUCUUGUGAUUCCUCCCUUGGCACGGUAUUGUCAUCUCCCCCUGAAGGAUGCACGUCUUGGACAUCCAACCACCCAAACACACCAUCAAGAUCACAAAUAACACUCUCCCCCUUGUGAUCGGAAGGUGGGAUUACGGGACUAUAAAAAUACUUGGAUUCAAAGAAGGUCACAUCUAUGGUGACGUACAUGUGGCGGGUCUCAAGGUGAUAGCAUUUAUAACCUUUCUGUUGGGAUGCAAAGCAAAGAAAAACACACCGAAGAGCACAAGGAUCCAAUUUACUACGAUGAAUCUUAUGGAUAUGAACAUAAGCAACGCAACCAAACACUCGAGGAGUAAGAGUGUUGGUAGAGACAACCAGAACAUGUUCUGUCAGAACUUGGAGUGGAGUACGAAAUUCUACAACUCGAGAUGGCAUGUGAUUGAUGACAUACACGGCAUACGUAACGGCGUCCGGCCAAAAACUCUUAGGUAUGGAUGCGCCAAUAAGCAAUGCACGAGCAAUUUCCAAAAUAUGACGGUUCUUCCUUUCAGCCACCCCAUUUUGUUGCGGGGUAUAAGGACAAGUGGUCUCAUGGAGAAUUCCUUGAUCUCGGAAAAAAGAAGAAAGCUCAGAGUUAACAUAUUCACCCCCGUUAUCAGAACGAAGAACCUGAAUAACGGAGGAAUAUUGUGUAGCCACCAUCUGAGAGAAAGACCGAAUAAUCAUACUAACAUCACUUUUAUGUUUCAACAGUUAAACCCAUGUCAUACGAGUGCAAUCAUCAACAAAUGUAAUAAACCGUUUAAUUCCCGAAGUAGUACUAAUGGGGGAAGGCCCCACACAUCAGAGUGUACUAGCGCAAAUGGAGAAGAUGUUCUAUUCAUACUCGGAGGGAAUGAAGCACGAUGACUUUUGGCUAGAAUACAUACUUCACAUUUCAAUUUUGAGUCUUCAAUACCACUGAACAAAUCAGGUAAUAUAUGUUUCAAAUAACCAAACGAUGCAUGCCCCAAACGACGAUGCAAUAACAAUACCUUCUGUAGAUUACUAUUACGUGAUACACGAACCAAAUUAGCUCUUCCAGGAACCAUGUCAUCCACAUAAUAUAGCCCCUCUCUUAGUGCCACGCCCAAUGAUCUCAUUUAUCUGAAUAUCCUGAAGCAAGCAAAAUGAAGGAUACAUUAAUACAACACAAUCCAAUUGUUCAGUGACUUGAGGUACAGACAAUAAGUGAUGGGACAAUGAUGGAACCAAUAAACAAUUAUGUAAGGGGAGAGAGGGUGUAAGAGACACUGUUCCCGCUCCAACAACAACAGUAGUAGAACCAUUGGCAGUUGCCACAUACUUUCUAUGAGGACGUGUCAUAGAUUGAAAUAAAGUUUUAUCAUACGUCAUAUGAUCUAUUGCACCGGAAUCCAAAAUCCAACCUAUAUUCACCAUUGUAAUAACUCACGAGACACUAAUACACGGCAAUCACAACACCACACCAAUUAUAGAACCACACGCUGCAAGGAAAAACAAGCAGCAGCACUUCAAAGACAAAAAAUUAUUGGACUGCACGCUGCAAUUCAAGCAGCAGCCAAUCCCUUUUUUUAUUAUCAACACUAGCAGCAAAUCCUUCUCGGCACAUCACAAUACACAUACGUACACAGCACACAAUCAGGUUUGCUGCAGGGAUGCAGCGACACCAACUGAAGACCUGCUGUGAGUGUUGUUCCCCUUCGAUAGUAAUAAUACAGCACACACGGGCAGCAGUCUUGGCUUGCUGCAGGAUGCGGCAGAGACCAGACUUGCCGGAUAUUUUUGUAUUUUUUUUUCCUGGUUUCACUGUAGCAGCGGUACGGUGGGAGCCUUAGGGUUACGGUUGGCUCUGAUGCCAAAUAGAAUUUUACGGCUUAAAUUUUCAUGUAUUGCAUAAUUGAGAAUAUAAUACAUACAAUCCUUGUUCUCUAAGGUAAACCAAAAAAGGACAUAAGAAAUAUCCUUCCUAAUAAAGGACUCUAAUAUUUACACAAUAUUUACAUUCCUAUUCUAAAACCAACUCACACAACAAUAUCUACCUUCUUUGGCUGAAUUUAGGACUGUCGCCUGCUGGGUAAGAUGCUCUUGUAUGAUAUUCGUAUCUAAUAUCUUUUUAUGCUAAUGUCAAGAUACUCAAAUCUGUUUAUCUGCAUGUUAAAGGGUUUGACUGAGCCUGACUAUGGAAGUGAUGCGAGUGCCUUGAGAGCGACAGCGACAGAGGUCAAGGAUUUCAACCUUCUCAUUUGCUUCUAUAUUUCUGUUAAAUGGUAUUAUCAUGCUCUUUUGGUUUUUGGGUGUCAUGGCUCCGAUCAUGCUAUAUCACGUAUGUAAGAUUGUGAAUGACAAUGAAUGUUGUAUUGAAUCAUUUUGUUGUAAGCCACUUGUCUAUCAAGUUGUUAGCCGCCAAAGUGAUCCAAUAGUCCUAACAUAAUAAGGAUUAUGGAGUCUUAUCCCUUGCAAUUAACCUAGAGGAAAUCUGAUAGAUUUUAUUACGAAGAUGUAGAAUCAUGGUGGGACUUAAACACUAAAGAGAUAGGGUCAAUCUUCACAGGCAAUGAUAGGUCGGGUGUGUUAAAAACCCUAACGAUAUAAAUAUCACGGUUAAGUCCCUACUUCCAUACGCUUGUACUCUCAAUCACGCCAAACCCUAUUCAUGGUAGAGAGACAUUUUGAAGUACUGGAAGUAGAAGACAACCUGUGAGCUCAAGCCACCAUGUCUCCAAUCGGUGCAGGUUAGUAUCAUUCAUCUUCUUCUUGUAAUUAUCAUGAUGCAUGUUAAAUUGUGAUCCUAGAACCAUGUUGUAUUAGUCCACCUUACAUGUGGUAUCAGAGCCAAACAACAUGACUAGAAUCCAAUUCAAAUAACUGCAUCGUUAUGGAUAAUUCAAAUCAUCCUAUUUUGCUUCCGUUGUUCUUAUUCUUUCAUGACUUAAUAUAGUUGUAUGUAUGAUGACCGUGUGCUGCGAUGUUAUUCAUCAUAAAGAAGCAUAUAUUAUGGCUAAUAAGUUUGGUGCAGAAACUUUAUAUACGGUGCAGGGUGUAGAUAAUACAAUCUGCAGGAGUUCAAUUGAAAUCCCAGCAUCGUUUGAUAUUGAGUGGAACACCAAUCCAGAAUAACGUCAUGGAUUUGUGGUCCCUUUUGGUUGAAAAUUACACUUUCAGUGAAGCAAUUGAAACGAAAUGUUUUAUUAGUCAAUUAUGAUAUGAUAAAUUUAUGACUGGUUUCUGAUUCAUAUCUGGAGAAGGAGUAAAGAAUUUUCUCCCUGACAUGUUUUCUUGACUGUGUUCUCUUCCGCGAGCUCGACUGUGAUAGCUAAUUUCAAAUUUCUAAGUGAGCCACCAUCCAGUUAUUAUUUAUCGAGCCGUUAUUCAGGUUUUGCUUCCUCGCACAUCAUCAAAACCCAGUUGAGAAUUACUCCCUGCUAGGAGAUAAAUUGGGGUUUGUCUUCUUGCUUCUGCUCAUUUUCCAUAAUACAUUAACUCUGUUGCAAACAAGGAUUGCCGCAUGACUUUAAGCUUAUUGCAUUUUGACUAUAUAUAUUGUCUUAAGACUGCAUGAUUGAAUAAAUCUGGUUGAAGGAGCCUUUUACAAUGGGCCUUUCGUAUUUUAAUUUCAAGUAAUACCAUAUAAUUUGGGUGAGCCAUUGUGAUCCUGAGGAGCUUGAGCUAUAUAUCUAUCCUGUUCACAAGUAAGUUUUCUGGGCCUUCAAUUCCUAAUGCCUAGAAUGAGCUUUCGAUGAUUUUCUCCAAUUACAUUUAAUUUCGUUUAUUCCAGUUUGCUGCAUAAAUUUUGAGUAAUGGAGUACAAGAAUAAUGGUAUGGCCACUUAGGCGUAUUAGUUGAUUGGUUUAACUAAUUUGAAUAUAAAUGCUUGCUAUGUUUUUCACAUUGGUUUUGCAAAUUGACUUUCCCAUACAUGUUAAUUAAGUUGAUGUUUACGCUUCCCUCUAUCGUUAUGCCUGUAAACACCCCUCUUCAGAAAUCAGAAUUUGUUUGAUUUCAGUUCAUGUUUGCAAAGUUUGUCCUUUGUGACCUUCAUCUUCAAACAUAAAAUUGCGUUAGCUGAGACUUUGUUUUUUGAGAAAUUUCUCAAAUACACACAAUUGAGAUUUUGGAGAAUUUCUUCAACGACUUCGUUUGCAAGUAAAUCUUUUGCAUUCUCUUGUUUUGCGAUAAGUACAUGUUUGGUAUGACCUAUGACAAAUUAUGAAUACUUAUGACAUGUUAUGAUUCACGUCAACUGACGCCUUGCUUGCGGUUUAGUGGAUUCAACUUAAGUUUAAUGUGUUUUGCUAUAUUUUGAGUGAGAAAUCAAUAGAAGUAUUUAUAAGUCAAAAAUAGGAUAUGUUGAAAGGCAAGAAACUCACAUGAAAAGGAAAACCAUUCAUGUCACUAACCUGGGCCUGAUAAACAUCCUAUUUUUAUAGAGACUUUCGUAACUCCUAACCUUAUGUAAUUGUUUUCUUGUAGUUCAGAAUAGAUUGUAUAUACUGCAAUUUUUCACGUUUUGGGACAUCAAAUAAAUUUAUAGUAAAGUGUUAAAGGUGAUACCACGCUGCUGGAAUUCUGCAGACUUCAGCAGCAAAGUCUGUUUGUGAUAUUAUUUUGACGUACUUCUGCAACUCCUAAAUUCAUGAAAUUUUAUUAUGAUAUAUAUUAAGAUGUUUAUUUUAAAUCUGGAAAUUUUCACGAGCAGUGGUCUGAAAAUGAAUUAUUGGUGAAGUUUUGGGUGACAAUGAAUUUAUGCGGCUUCUGCAGCACAUUCCAUUUCGAUUUUAUUUUUAGCCCACUUGUAGAAUCGAACAAAUUAUGGAAUUUUGGGUGACAAUAAAUUUAUAUGUCUACUUCAUUUCGGGAAAUUUUCAUGCGCAUUGGAGAAAAAUUGAAUUUUUUGGUGACUUAUUUAGUCUCCGGUAUGUACUGCAGAAUUUUUGUCGUUUCUGCAGCACAUCCCAUUUCAUAUUUUCUUUUAGUACACUUGUAAAGUGUCAAAAAUUAUGAAAUAUUGGGAAUUAACAGAUUUGUAUAAUUACUUAUUGUCUGAAAAGUUUCAUGCAUAUCGGAUGAAAAAUGAAUAUUUGGUGAAUUUUAAUCUUAGGUAUGUACUGCAGAUUUUCUGUAGUUUCUGCAGCACCUCUCUUUUCGAAUUCAUUUUUGGCUCGCUUAUAAAAUUUUAAAAAUCAUGAAAUUUUGCAAAACAGUAGUCAUAUAUGUCUAGUUCAUACCUAAAAAUUUUCAUGACAAUCUAAAGAGAAUUGAGUUUUUAGUGAAUUUGCAAACUACAGUGGUAUUGCUGAAUUUUUGGUACUUCAAAAACUAGUUAUGUUAUGCAAUAUUGUUUUCACUAAUUUGUGCAUAUUCAAUAGUACCAAUUGUUUGACAUGUUUAUUUGCUCUAAUAUGUCCUGGUUUUCAAUGCAAAUUCUCAAUUCUAAUGACUUUUAUUAGUCAACACUGAUUAAAUUUUGGUUGAAAAGUGUAUUGGUUUAUUUUGCACAAACCAAUGUUUUGUUUGGUCAUCAAUUUUAAUUAUGAUGAUCAUUGUCUUUUGAGACAAAAAUUGGAAAGUGGCAUCAGUUUACUAAUUGAUCAUUUUGGUCCCUAUCGAAUAACUGAAUAACCAUGUUUCCUCUUUCGAGAACUCUAUUGUUCAAUGUCAAACAACGACAUACUUUUUGUGUCUGAUUGAAUCUUUUGAGAAUCAUUGAAUAUCCAACAAAACGGUUAUUUAAUACUGCUCUAAAAGAUUAUUUUGAAAAAUCAAAAUUCUAAUUUAUAUGGUAAAUACUUUUUUCCCAAUGGGAAUUUCAGGAAAUCACUCACCAAUUAUAAAUUAGUAUUAUAGCAAAUCAUAAAAUACUUUUAACAUAUGUUCAUCUGGCCAAAGCUGUUGAAGCUAUAUGUAUUUUGUGUAUUUUAUGUUUUGGCUAGCUAUGCAGGUAUUUUCUUUGCAUGAUUAGUUUUUGCCCAAAGGUGUAACAAUCAUGCAAUUUGCUUUUGGUUUGAUCCUCCACAACUCGACUACUUCCAUGAUGAAUCUUGCAGAAUCGAGAAUGAGUAGGUAAAUUUACCAAUCUUUUGUCUUAAUUUUCUCUGAGUUCUAAAUUGGAUUAAAAUUAUUGUUGAAAAAUUGAUGUUAUUGAGAUAUCUAAGUGUUUAUUUUAAUCGACUUUGUUUUAGAAUUAAAACAUAAAUUUUGAGUUUGAAUUCUCAUAUUAGGUUUCAUUUUUAAUUGAUGACCUAAUCUUUCACAAAUAUGUGAGUCUUCUCUCGUACACUAAAAUAAAAUAAAAUUUGUAGUCAUUGCAUAAGUUUUUUAUUUUUUUUAUUUUUUUUAUUUAUGGAACUUUUAAUUCGAACCUAUUAAAAUAUAUAUAUAUAUAUAUAUAUAUAUGUAUUUGAUUUUUAUUGAUUCAAUUAGCCUAUAUUUUGUUAUAUGAAAACCACUUUCUCUGAUGUUUAAUCUUGCAAUUUUGAGUGUUUGCCCAAGUGGGAGAAAGAAUGUAUUAUGGGCUUCACACUCAUCAAUUUUGCAUGCUUUUAAUGGUCAUAGUUUUGGUAGAUAGAACGUACAUUAUCAUACUUGUUUAUAUUUUAUAUAUGCAACUAAUCUUGAAAGAAAUUCUAGAAGGAUUAAUGAGUAUAUUCUGCUUAAAAGUGUUUUGCUUAUUAAUUCUUGUUUGUUGUUCAAGAAAUUGGAGUUGUGAUUUAUAUGUUAGUUUGGAAUAAUUAAUCUACUCAAAAGUGUUUUCUUAUUCAGUACAACUAUAAAUCAAUGUAUAGUGAAACAUGAAAUUGACAAGAUUGUAUAUACUUCAUCUGCUCAAAAGUGUUGAAGCUAUAUAAGUUUACCCUUGUAUUUUAUGUUUUAGCUAUGCAAACCUAACAUAAUUAGUUUCUGUCCAAAGAUGAUUAUGGAAUUAUAUGCUUUUGAUGCGAUAAGAAAACAUUUAGUUAAAGUUUUCUAUUUCUGUCAAAUGUUAGAUGAACAAAACUAACCAAAUGAUUUUGUAUAGUUUUUCAGUCAUAAAAGUCACUUCCUUACAGAUAUCUAGAAUAAAGAUGUUGAGCUCACAAAUUUUAUGUUCUAGAUCCCAUGACUAAUGUUUUUCCAAUGGGAGUAUGUGAAAGGUAUUUGUUUCAUUUUGUAGACAUUUACAAAGUUUUGUUUUACUCUCUUAAUCAGUGGAAGUAAUAAUAAUUUAUCAAUAUAAUUUUGUCUCUGUUAAUCAAUGGGAGUAAGAGAUUACCUUUUGUGUUAAAAAAUUUGAAGUGUUAGUAGCUGAAACUUUAAGAGUAAAUUUUGUUUAAAUUUUGUUCAUCAAGUCCUGAUUUUGUAAACAAUAUGUCGUAUUUUACUUGUUCUCUUAUUAUAUUCUAAAUUCACAGAAAAGUUGGAUUUUGUUGCAAAAGAGUCAGUGAUCUCACGCCUAGAGACCAAGCCAUCACGUUGCAAACGCGAGUAUCUCUGAUCAACAUCAAAGGGGGUUGGCUUGGAAACUGAGAGCUGAGUAUUAUUCAAGGGAUUAUUCUGUAGUGCUGUACCUACUCAAGAUGAUGCCAAAGUGGCCCCUUGAAUAAGUAAUGAAGGUAAUCGUCCAUCAAACCUUUGGAAAGGUGCACUGUACUGCAUGAACAUGAGGAAAUGCUAACAAAUAAGAAUUAUAAAAGGGAAAAUUAGGUUCACAUUCUUCUUUUUGUUACUUCAUUGAUUAAAAUCCUAUUCAUUUUCAAUUUUUGAUCAAGGUCCUUGGGUAUUAAUAACAUCAUUAAUUAUUUGAAUAAUAAAAUAUUUUUAUUUUUAAAUAUAUUCCUUUAAUGUUAAAAAUGUUACAAUUAGUAUAUUUAUAUUUAUAGCUAAAUUUUGUUAUCAUAUAAUUUUAUUUUUAGUUUGUACCUAUUUUUAAUUUGCAAAUAUUUUUUAAUUUGUACCAAUUUUCUUUUCAUUUUUAAUUUGUACCCAUAUAUUAGUUCCUUUUUGUGCCCAUAUUUUUUAAAGUUUUAUUUGUGUUUGUACCCAUGUGUAUACCGUCACGUGACAUUGUAUAUUUAAUCAAUAAUAGAAAAAUUACAUAUGGUAUAUUUAUGUUUUAUGCCUAAACUUUGUAUCAUAUAUUUAUAUUUUCAAUUUGUACCCACUUUUAAUUUGCAACAUUUUUUUUUUAAUUUGUAGUAUUUUCUUUUUAGUUUUAUUUUGUACCCAUGUACUAAUUUCUUUUAGCGCCUAUAUUUUUAAAAAUUCAUUUGUAUUAAUAAAUUUUAAUCUUUUAUUUGUACCCUAAUUUAUUUCUAAUGUACCCAUUCUUCUUUAUUAAUGUACCACUUUGUUAUAUGUGAAAUGUACCAAUUUUUUUGUAAAAUGUACCAAUUUUUUUAACACUAUGGAUACAUUCUUUUGCCAUUUAUUAUUUCUUAUUUUUACAUAUUUUUUAUCCAUUUAUUCAAUUAAAAUGUUUGAAUUUUUUUAUUGUAACCGUUUCUAAUAGUAUUAUAAUGAGGGAUUUUAAAUUUAUAGGAUUAUAAAUCUCAUAAAAUAUCAAAUAAUUAACAAAACUAUAAAAAUAUAAAUAUUAAUAGUAAUAUAAUGAGGUGUACAAAGUCAAGGGACCUUGAUCAAACUUUGAAUAAUAUUAAGGUUUUAAUCAAAGAAUGUUAAGGAUUAGGGACCGCAUCCAAAAUAUCCCAUUAUAAAAACUAAAGUGAAUCAAACCCAUGGAUCUUAUGGGGAUUACCUUCAUAAAAGCUUAAGCAUUUUGGAAAGAAAAUUUUCAUUUAAAAAUAAAUUUUAACGUCUUUCUAUUCAAGUAUGUUGGCCCAAAAUUAAAAGUGAUAGAUGCUUUCAAACAGUUUACUUUGUACGCAUCAUUAACAUUACAAUUUUUUAGAAGUAAUGUAGAUGGAUUUGUUUAGUUGCAUCAGGCUCCUUAGUUUCCAACUGACAUGCCAAUUUAUGAUUCACUGCCCUUUCUUUUCAGACAAUAAAUCUAAAACAUUGAUAUAACCAAAUGCAUCCGAUAAAAAAAAACUACGUAAAUUUCCUAGGAGAGUUCCUGAACAGAAGAACCGAGAGAGUAUUGAGUUGAUCAUGGCUUUUAUACCUACCCCAGUGAAUAGCUGCUGGAAGAAGUAUCUCAGGAAUAAGCAAUAUUAUAAUGGAUUGCUCCGAAGCACAUAUUCUUCGAAUUCCUCACCGCAAGGACAGCAGCAAAGAGCACCCAUCUCUACAUUUCCACCAAUAUAUACAAAAAUGUCAAAAUUUGAGUUUCUGAAGACAAAUCACACUUAAAACGGGCUCACCAUCUCUUAUUACUUAUUCGCAGUGUAUAGUAAGAUCCAGUAUCACAUUCAUACACAAUAGUAUCUUGUACUAAAGCUCUUUCAAGUUUCACUCCAAAACCUCAAGUUACAGCUAUAAAUUAUAAUGACAUUCAUACAUGAUAAUAUUUAGUGCUAAAGCUUUUUCGAGUUUCACUCCAAAACUCAAGUUACAGCUUUGUAUUAUAAUGUUUCCCCUAGACAAUGAUCAUUCACAUUCAACAAAAGCAUUCCAACUGCUUCAUUGAUAAAGAUUCAUCAGCUAUUUAACUCUACAAAUAAGAUAAACAUAGAAAAUUUAAAAAGAAACAGGCACACCAGCAUAUAUUUUAAAACAAACAAAACCAAGUCGCAGACAAACUUGAUUUCUCAUCCAGCGAUCAAAAUCAAACCACAUCUAUAAACCAUGAAAUAGUAAAUAUGGAUAUAAAAUGUGAUCGUCAUCUAAAACUCGAUAAAUUAAUUGUCAACAUAAAAAAUUACCUCACAUCUUCACUUCCCUUCUAAUUUGGCAUCGGCGGGUUGACUUCUAGGUUAACGAAGUCCUGAAAACAGAAUAACGAAAAACGUUUACCGGUCCAACAUUUCAACAUGUGGUUUUGGUAAGUAUAACAUUUCAACAUAAACGUGAUAUAGAAGACAGAAAUCCACAUGUCAUUUCGUUUUUUCAGAACCAACAAAAAGGCCAAAUAUAAGAGAAUUGAACCAAUUUAAAACAGUAAAUCAGUCUCCCAAUAAAAGAGAACAUAAGCAUGAUAUACAAAGAUCGAAAGGCACUUUUAAUUUGGUUUCCUCAAAAGCAACGAAAAUAAUGCUAAAUCAAAUUGAAUUGAACAGAGUGGAAAUGGGAUAGAUGAAGAUUUGAAAUUGCUUACAUCUCUAUCAUAUCCCGCAUUUCCCUUACAAAAUAAACAAUUAUGAAUACAGUACAUUAAAAUCAACACAGCAAAUAAAAACCCUAUUUUUUAAUAUGCUGAACAAUUACGAAUACAGAAAACCAUACAAAACAGUUCCUAAUUACAAACUUAAUACAUACAAUGGCCUAAAAAAAAAGGCAAAAUCUAAUAAAUUUCAUCCAAAUUCAAUAUUAUACAUCAAAGACACAAUCUUUCGAUAUCCUAAACCAAAAUUAUCAUACAAAAAACCAUAAAUUUUCCGAAUUCACAAGCAGCAAGUCAAUCUCUCAAUUCCUAAACAAAGUCUCAUAAUUCUAGAAUCCCAAUUGUAAUUGUCGAUAAUUUUAUAAAGAAAAUCAAGAAAUUAUACCUUCCAUCUACUAACGUACUACUCCUCCUUCUCCAUAAAGAAAGCAUUGAACUUUUCCAAAUUUUCUCCAGCAACUUCACGAAAUUGGUGACGUCCUUGGAAACCUCACCAGCUUCGCCGACUUUGCAUACUAAAUCUCUGUCGUCGGCCAAUAUGGGCUGUUGUUUAGUAGAGAGAUUAGUUUGAUUAAGAAUUAAUUCACCUAUUAUUGAUUAAGAAUUAAUCCCAACCAUGCCAGCUCUCCACUCUCAAUUCACUUACUAUUGAUUAAGAAUUAAUUCCUAAAAUUUAUUAACAAAACCCAUUACUCAAAAAUCCAAACUUCAUAAGGAAAAAAAAGUAAAUACUGGUAAAGCUCAAUUCAAAAAUGAAUAAGAAAUUGAAACUGAGAAGAAACACAGUAGGGAGCACCUUAUCGUCUUCAAAACCACCUUAUUCGGUAUUUCCUUGUUGAUGAUCUUGUCAAAUGUACAAAAACAAAAAUACAAAUUCAAUUAAUCAAACAGCUUACAAUAUUUCUGAAUAAAAAAGUGAUGGAAAAUAUACUGUUGGCCGAACAUGCGCCGUCUUCAAAAGCAGAAGAACUUGAGAUUCAAUUUGGGUGGAAAUGGGCACUGCUGGAAGGGAAAAGAACAUUAAUAAACCAAUACUAUUUCAACUAAACCUAUACCCCAACCAAGCAAAAUCAAAUGCACACUAAUCACAUCUAUAACUAUAGAAAUAGGGAACCAAACAGAUAUAACAAAUGUAAUAUCAUUGGUUCAAAAAUAUUAAAGGAACUAUAGGUCGUAGUGUGUAGCAUGCAAAAGUGCUACUACUCUGAAUUUCCAACAUGCUCAACAGAUCUCUAACUUUCCAGAAUUAUUUAAAUUGAAACUAAGAGAUCAUUCUUUCGCAUAAUGAUUAUUUGAGAUUCGCUACAAAAACGAAUCCAUAACUUACUUAGGUUUCAAAAUGCACUAUAACAUCCAUUAAUCUAAACAGAAUUGCUUGAGCAAAGCAAACAAUUCAAUCUCAUUCCUCCAUAAAUGACCUUGUUUUAUUACUUCAUGGGGCUAAUUUCUUCCGAAAGAUUCACAGCCAAUGGUUUCCAACAUUAAAAUAUUACAACAUGUUGAACACAUUAAACAAACAGUUUUUCCAAUGACUAAACAGUUUUAUUAAACGGCAAAUAAGAUUAUUUUCUUGUCACAUAAAUAGCGUUUACAAUGUAUCAAAGCAAGUGGUAGUUACUAAAAUGAAUACAUUAACAUACUCUUAUGGCAUAAAAUCUAAUAACCUAAAUAAUAGUGUUUCAAUUGAUAUCAACAAUCAGAAACAACACAAUUGCAAACAUAAAGUUAGGUGAUUUCAUGGUUAAAACCCAUGUAGACCACCUAGACAUAAAGAAAUAAAAAAUACAUGAAAAUUAGGGACUAACUUGAGCUUGGAGUCCACAUAAUGCUUUUAAGAGUAGCAAAUGUUCUUUUGGACUGAGUUCUGUUGGAUUGAGUUCCUUGUAAUGGGAUAUCUCCUCUCUGCACAAACAGCAAAAUGGUAAAAAUGGUUAGUCUAUUUAAAGAACAAAACCAAAUUAAAUACAGUGAAUGACGCUAAGAUGAAUAAAACUGAAACCCUGGACAACAAAUUGAAUGCUGGGAAGAAAGGAAAAAACAUGCAUGAAUAAAAUAUCUAAUUUUUCAACCACCCUUAAUUUAUAAUUAAGCUAAGCAAAUCACAGCAAGCACAACACAAUCACAACAAUAAGAACUUUCAAAUAACAUAACAUUUAUCAACUACUCAGCACAUGAUUUUCAAAAAUGGAUAACUAACCUGUAAUUUAGAAACUUAUGUCGUUCACUCGCUUACUGAUUAAGUCUCUUAAGUUUGGGAAAAGUAUUCCAUGAGCUGCAAAACACAGUGAAACAAAGAUCAAACAAAGACAAAAAGAAGUAGUUAAAUGAAUCAUAAUUUUGCCAAAAUUUAUGGCCAUAUGGUACAAUGGGGGAUUGUGACAGGCCAUGGAUAUUGAUGUUGACCUCAAACCUCACAAAUCAUAUAUAAUUCCUUAAGAACCAUAUGUAAUUUAUCAACAACAAACAGCUAAAAGCCAGCCCUGCAACUAAUUAUCUCACAAAUAAUGAUUGUAUGCAUAUCUAAGACAAAACUGAACCAGAUUCAAAGAAUUAUUCGGAGAGUUCUUUCAUAGCCUUCAUACGGUCAUCAAUUAAGUUUUGCAAAAUUAUGUCUCAUACAUUUUAGCAAUGAAAGAAACACAUAUAGCACUCAUACUCUGAACAAAAAAUAAUCUUUAAUUUCUUCUAAUAAUGUUCUUGAGGGAGAGAAUGAAACUGGAAAUUUAUAUUUUGGAGACUUUAGUGCACACAUACAUACCAACAUGUGCAAGGAAAGCAGUCUGAAUUUGAAUUGCACCUAUAUCCUCAAUUGGCAAUCCAAGAUUUUACCAUCUGUAAAAUUAGACUUUAUCAAAUUUAUGGAGUUUAAUGUUCCAUGAGCUGAAAUCCCCGUCAAAACAUGUAAUGAGGGGCGAGGAAUUACAAUUUCACACCAACAUGAGUCCUGAAAUGUUACAUAUAUAAAUCCUGAGUUCAAGGAACCCAAAAGCUGAAUUCGUAGCUUACAAAAAGAUGCAAACUUUUGCUAUACUAUUAAAAACCAGGCUCGUGACCCAUAAUCUCUAAGCAGCCAAAGAAGAAAAAAACAAAAAGCUAAGAUAUUGAAGUAUAAUUCUCAUAAGCACUGAAAAUUUGAAAAAGAACCAAACAAAAAAUGCACCUAAAAACAAGUUAUGAAGAUUGAGAGAGCAAAGAGGAAAUGUAAACAAAAAAUGCAUGUAAACAUUUUCUAAUUGUUUUUAAUUUCUAAAAACAAUUUCUAAAAACAAUUAGAAAUGUUUACAUACAUGUGAUAGGAGCAUAUUUAUGCGACUUAGUUAGCUUGUUCUUGUGCAUUUACGUUGUAUUUCCUUAGUUAUUUUAGUGUUUAAAGUUAUUUUUGUGUGUUUUCAGACUCUAAGUACAAAGUAUGCAAGAAGAUGCAUUUUGGAGGCCUUUGGAGCAUGUUUCGGGCUUGGAAUGGAUAGCAAAUGCAUGGGCAAAGUGGAUGGACGAAUUUGAGAACUAAAGAGGCCAAGAAUAUGAAGAAUUAUGGUCCAAAAGAUGAAGAAAACAGCCCAAAAAUCUGUCACCCCAACUUGCAUUCCUUGCCAUGCAAACCACAUAGAAUUCCCUUUGGAUUCCAUGCCAUGCUUGAUCACUCUUGUCCCCUACAUAAUUUCUAAUUUCAUGCUUCAAUUCAUUUAAUUAUUACACUCAAUUGCUUGAUACCUCUUGUUCCCUUCACUCAUUAGAUUUUAGACAACAUUUACAUCCAUUACAUGCACCAAUUGAUGCUCCAUCAUUCACAUUUGGAAUCCAAUGCCAUGUGCAACACAUGUUGUUGCACCUUUGACCCAUUUGUUGACACAUUUCACCUCCCUUUCCAUCUCUAUGCAAUGUACACAAUCAUUCAUGCUCCCUAGCUACAACACCACUCCAUUUUACCCUUCACACUUUGCAUCAUUACUUCAUGUUCACCCUUGGACCAUUGCACACCACACACACAAAUUGCCAUGCAUUUCAUCCUUAACCUAACCUGAUUUUCUAAGGUUUUUGGGGCCUAUAAAUACAUGUUUACACCCCUUGGCCAAAGGACAAUCCCCCAUAUUCAUCAUUUUAUCACAAAAAUUCGUCCAUACACACCCUAGGAAGCAAAACACCCCAAAAACACCAUUCUAGUGCCUAGAAAACAUAACAGCCACUCCACCUUCUUCCACCCUCUUUGCCUAGUUCUCCACCACCCUCCAACCAUCAAACACUCCUCCACACUCACCCUAAACCCUUCCAUACCAUUCCCCAUCCAUUCUACAUCAUAAAACUACCCAAAAUCUGUCCAUAACCCAAUCUGCCGCAAGCAAGGGAAAGGAGGAAUCUUGGAUGCACUUGCUACCAAGUUGGAGCAUUUUAGGUGUUUUCUUUCCUUUGAUUUUAAUGUCUAAUUUUAUGUAUCUUUGCUUUGUGAGUAUGAGGAACUAAACCCCUCUUAGUUAGGGGGUGAUUCGAAACUAUGUUCAUACUUGCAAUAUGAUUUGAUUACAUCCAGUUGUGAUUCAUAAGUUGUGAAUUCAAUUUACUUAUCCGUUCAUAUAAAAACUAAUUUGUGUAUGUUGGUUAAGAGUGCACGCUUAAUUUUCAUGCAUGAAUUUGACGCUAGAAUAUAAGGGAGUUUCACCUAAUCGUUAUAAACUUAUAUUCACAAGUAGUGAAGGUUGCUAGUCACAAUCACGUUAAGUAAACUCUUGGCAUAAGUUUCAUGCAAAUCAUAGUAACGAGUGCCUCGUCAAUGCUUAUGUUUUUCAUAGAACUUAAUGAUUCUUGCUUGUAUCUCUAUUAUGCAAUUCAUGUAGGGAACUUGUAGGGAAUGUUUUGGGUUGUCGUAUGCAAUCAUCCAACCUAAUAACUUGUGGAAAAAACUGAGGGUUAAUUAGUGCAAUUCACGGUUAAUUUGGGGCGUUGAGUAUUCAUAGCUUAUCGAAAAGCAACUGGAAAUCGUUUUGUAUGCAAGUGUGACAUAUGUGGAGAAGAACCUCCUAGCUAAUCUUCCAUCCAUAAGUUUCAUUCAAAUUCACUUACAAUCUGUUUUGUUUUACAAAAGUUUGUUUUUGUUUUCAAAUUCAUCAAAACCAAAAUCCCCCUUUUACUUUAUUGUUUCAAAGUGUUUAAUUUCUGUUUUGGUUGUGUGUUAGAGUGUUUUUGAUUCACCCAAAUUUGUCUAAGAAUUUGUUUACUUUGUUCUUGUCUUAAUUUAAUUAUUUUCGUCGAAAAUCAACCCCAUCUUAUUUCUUUGAGUCAUAUUAAUUAGAACUUGUCUUAGAUUAUGUUUUUAAGUGUUUUAGUUCAUUAGAAAACCAAAAUUUGUCCAAGUUUGUGUGAGAGUCCCAAAAUUGCCCAGAUUGUGUUUUUAAGGUAGUUUUGAGUGUUUAGGGGCUGUUUUGAGUCUUUUGGUUUGUUUUAGUGUUUUAAAGUAUAGUUUUGCAUUCUUUGAGUCUAGUUAGUGUUUUAAACUUUGUUUUCACGUUUUCAAGUCAGUUUCCAAGUGAUUUAGCAAUCCCUCAUAAUCCCCGGCCUAGAACGAUCCCUACUUACAUACUUUACUACAAUUGAUAAAAAGAGGGUUUAAUUUGUGUGUUUAGUUAUUUUACGCAUCAACAUGCAUGUAGCCUGUUCAAUUAGAUUCAUUUUAAAUAAGAACCAAACAAAAAAUGCGCCUAAAAACAAGUUAUGAAGAUUGAGAGAGCAGAGAGGAAAUGAAAUAGACCUCUAAUAGUAGUACUGCAGUUUGUAGAAGGUGCCCAGUCCUUAGUCUCUUCAAUUAGAUUAAUUUUAAAUAGGACCCGCUGCUGCUAUUUUUUCGACGUGGGACAAUCAGGUCCUAACGUUUCCCCAAUAGAAAACUCUAAAAUAUGAUUAUAUGUCAGAAUUCACAAACAAAGUCAGAGGAAACAUGAUGAUUAUUGAGCUAGUAUUGAAUAAUGGGUAUAAAAUUGAAACUUUUGGAUGGUCAGCGUUGUUUCCAGAUGAAAUUAAGCAUCCCAAAUAACCAAAACAAAUCAACUUAACAUAAAAGUAUGUAUUACCCACCUCAAAUCGGCCGGAGAACUCAUAUUGGAAUUUCUACCUUCCAAUUUUUCCGUAACCUUUUCCAUCUCAGAAUUUCUGAACAGGACAUGGAUUCUAUAACAUUAGAUAAAAUUAUCUAUACUACACAUAUGCAGAUCAAUUCCAGAUAAAUUAAGAUCAAAUCAAGGUAUGGAAUAUAUCAAUUUUGGGUUGGAAAAUCACCUUGAAAUUUCAGUGGACAGAGCCAGUGGCAGUCUUGCAAAUAAACUGAAAUGUCUUACAAAACACUGUUCAUAUGAAUAGUGUAAUUUCCCUUCCUACUUUAGACUAAAGUAAUACCACUUUGGCGAGAAAACCAGUCAAACUUCCCUCUGUCCAAAUCGCGAUUUCUCAUCGUAAUACUGCUGGUAAUGGAAGAGAACCCGAGACACCAAAUCUCGGAGGUCUUCAUCUCGGGCCUCGUCGAUCGUCUGCUGCUGGGCCGAUAAGAGCUCAUCGAGGAAGUGUUCUUACCGGACCGGCCAGCCCUCGUAGAAUGCCUCAAAUGUGUUCGAUGCAUUGCCGCUGUGAGAGCCGUUUGUCAUAACCAAAACAAAAACAGCAAAGCUUUCUGGGGCUUUAAUGGCAACGAAAAACAGAAAGGUGGGUGGGAUUAAAUAGGAGGUGGGAUUCGAAAGGUGGGGGAUUUCUUUUGGGAUUUUGGUUUUUGAUUUGCUUCGUGGGCAAGUAAUGCUAAUGGGUGAGGAUACUGCGAGAGCAAGGUUCAUGAAUUUUGUUUUUUCAGAGAGAGAGAGAGAGGAAACCAGAGGAGGUGAGGCUCAGACGGAGAGGUGUGUGCAGGUAGCCAUUAGAGAGGGAACCGCCCGGGGGGGGGUUUGGUUUGGGGCUGCCCGGAUGAUGGGGCAACACGUCUCGAGGCUGCCAAGUGGAGGGAUUGCGUGAAGCCAAGUCAUCGUUUUUGGGUUUUUUUGGAUGGGUGGGUGGGGGAGUUUAAACCCUCAGGGGGAGGGAUGUCUUUCUAAAGAGAUAGGAAUUUAUCGUAUAUUGUACAGUUAAAUUUUGUCAUGAUAUACGAUAAACUGAUAAACUGAUGUGAUUGGAGGAUUAUCGAGAUCCUCUCUAAAUAGGCAAUGUUUGCACUGGUGCAAGUUGGGGAAGUUGUUAAACGGCAAAGUACAAAAGAAGUCUGAAGAAGGGAUGUUUUAGUUGUCAGUUGCGGUUCGGUUUGAACUGGACUAUUUUGAUACGAUGGAACUCUUUUUUCAAUUGUACAUUAGGGCACGCUUACUUACUUUUCGGAUGUGAGUUAACAAUGGAUUUCAUUACCUUUUUAUUCCUUGCAUUUUAGUAAACGCAUGAUUUCAGGAGUGAAAAUUAUACUCAUACUUUCCAUUCUCGUUCUUAGUAAGUAAACAGACCACUAUUGAGUUGGAUAGCGGUUAACCAUAUUGUUCUUCCAUAUAAUAGUAUACAAUUUACUUGAGGUAGCAUUUCCGUUGCAUGAAAGACUCAUAUAAAGGGGAUAAUCUAUUCUAAGGGAGGGGGCUAAAACGACUUUUUGGAUACAACAUUAUUCUGCAUUUAAGUGGCUAGUUUAGGUCACACAAUGGGUCAACCACUUACUAGAUAUUAAACUCAACACAAAAAAUAACACGUUCUUGCUAUUAAUGUAAAUCAAACUCAGAACCUCAAACUUACAAAUGAAGAACAAUACCUAGUUAGACUAAGUUGAACUUGAUCUCAAUUUGUUUCCCAGUCCUAGUCACUAAACCAGUCACUAGCGUGUAUGAUGAUGGGAGAAAAUAAUAAAGUAGGGUGCAGGUGCAACUCCAAGCGGUUGCUGAUUGCAGUGCAGUUGAAGGGUAAGUGACAAAUUUGCCUUAACUUUUAGUGAUGAGAGAAAUUGGUUGUUGUGGAGCAAAAAAUAAUCAUAAGGCAAUAUGUGGAUCUUUGGGUUAAAAUGACAGAAUUACCCUCGAGACAUACCGGGAUGCCUACGUGCGAGAAGCAGGCAAUCAACCCUCAACCAAGUCAAAUGUACACAAAAUAGGUAAUAAUUCAAAACCUUUUCAUUCAUCCUUAUCAAAUCCUCUCCACAGUAACUUCCAAAUCAUUCCCCAUUUAUUAUAUUAAUUAGCUAAUCAAUUAAGAAAUUAUUCUAUUAAUUAGCUAAUUAAUUAAUUUAUUGUUCAAUUAUUCCCAAUUAAACACAAAUCAAGAACCUAGCCCACAAAAUGAACCAAGUGGCCGGUCAUUUCUCUCCCAAAGGGGCCGGCUACACCCCUAUAAAAACCCCAUCAUUCUCUCCAAAACGAGACUCCCAAGACUUUUGCUAAAAUUCUCUAAAAUUCCCAAACACUUUCUCUCUAAGUUCUAACUUUGGCAUUGGAGGUUAUUCGGCCAAAGCACCCCCCAUUCAUCAUGGGCGCAUAAGGCUCUUGGUCUUGACCUAAGGUGUUAUUUAUUUUGUAGGUGCAAUUUUGUCUAAGAACAAGGAGGAAGAAAUUUUCAUCCACAUCUGCCAUGAGAAAUGUUCAGUAGACAAGCUGCUUCACUGCUUGAAUUGAGAAAAUUGGUUCAUAACGUGUCCAAUUGCUGCAAGUGAUCAUCUUUUAAGAGAUCCUGGUGUUGCCAAUUGGCAUUUUUGACCAGCCAAUGAUGGUUGUGGUGGCUUCUAUGUGGCACAAAGAUAAAAAAAAAACUCAUUUAGAGGUGCAUUUCAAAUAACUAAAACCGUUUUUAGUGAAUUGGUUUUUUAACCAAAAUGGUCCCCAAUAUUUAAAAUCAAUAAAAGUAAUUCAUGUGAUUGUCAACCGGCAAUUAUGGUUUUCUGUGCAAAAUAUCAAGGAAAUUGAAGAAAUCAAUAGUUCAAGUGGAGGGGUUCGUUUAACAAAAUUACCCUCAGUUUAACGGAGAUUUUUUACGAAAUGACCAUAAUGAUUGACGAUGAGCAAUUUUAUAGACAAUUUCUAUCGAUUAUAAAUCACAGGAACCAAAGUGAGGAGUCAUGGUAUUCUCAGAGACCGUUUUAACUAAAAAACCAAACAUUUUAUCUAAAAGCGCUUUCAAUCGUUUUAAAACGAAUUUGGUUCUUCUUAUCAACUCAACAACUCAACAAGUCUCAAUUCUUUUAUGCAUGAAGUUGGAAAUCCAAUGAGGUUUGAACUUGUGUGGCGACCAACAAUAAAACUAUUUGUUAAUUAUUUAUCCUCGUUAGUAAAUUUGUGUUCUUCUCUUUGUCGUACAUGUCAGAAUGAUUCGUUGAAAUAUACAUUUAACAACUCUAAUGUACUAAAAAUGUAUUAUGCACAUACGUACAUAUUGAAAUACAUGUUUUCCAAUAAUCUCGCUCACGCAAAUGAUCUAAGUUCUUAAGAAGAGAAGUGAAUAAUAUUUUUGUAAAUUCACACUUAUAUGACUCUUCACAUUCCAUAGAGCUUGAUCGAAAUCUGAAUGGCUGGAUCAUCUAACAAAGGUUUUCAUUUGUAGACCAUAAGUUUUGAAUCGCAUAGUAAUGGGAUCUGUUCUUUUGACUACCCUAAUCUCAGGGGAACGCUACCUAGCCAAAAUCAAUAAGCGGGGUGUAUUCAAUUGAGAUUUUGAAAGAUUUUAAAGAGUAUAGCGUUGACUUACUGAGCAAUCUUUAGCAUGGAGUCCCCAAUUCAUACAUCCAUUUCACAAUUUCGGUAGAAGAUAAAAAGGUAAUGCCGAGUUCAUCUACUGAAUCUUAAAUCACAUAUGAAAUUGGAUUAACAAAGCUCCAAGAACACCGAGGAGUUCAAACAUCCAUAGAUGCAUGCCACAUACAAAGAUUACGAGUUAGAAUUAUGGAAGUCAUUAAUUCCUUAACUAGACUAGCCACAGAAUGAGAGUAGGUUGGAAACACAUCGAACGAGAAAGUACAACAGUCAAACAUACAAGCAGUAAAAGGCAAGUUUCCUAAGAAAAAUACCUGAUUGUAAUAUUGGCUAAGCCUCAAUGAUGAACAAAACAAAAUGAUUUCCCGAAGCUAAGCAAAACAUGACCUGCUAAUUAUCAUCUUUUCUUGAAACCAUACUUUUUGCGUUCAUAGAACAGAUCUGUUUUGGCACUUCCCAGAUUCACAAUUUUCGGGCAGCCAUCUCUAUCUUUCUCCUGCUGAGUACACUCUUUGCAGUAAUAAGCAUCAGAAAUUCCAACCCCUCCACAAAUAACACACCUUCCCUGGAAAGAUCCAUAGUUGCACUCAUCGCAAACCCGAACAAGCGUGCAAGGGCGCACAUAAGAGUCACAAAUUACACACUUACCGUCGCACUUUUCACACAACCUUCCAAUAGCUAUUCCAGGUUGCUUCCGACACAUAAUCAAGUCAGGAUGAUGCUUCGCCAUGUUCCUGCAACAAC
rnacentral:lncRNA from 1 species